rnacentral:lncRNA from 1 species
UAAUGAUAAUAAUGGGUAUUUAGAGAUGAGGGGUCCAGGAGUAGUACCAGAGAGAUGAUGAUGACGGCGGAGGAGAGGAAGGAGGACGAGGCGUUGCACGCUGGCAACCUUAGAAUCGACCUUCGCAAAAUCCCUCUCUAACUUUUCAAAAUUUACAAAUUUGAUUUAAUAUUUAUCUCAUUUAUCAUAAAAGUCCCUAUUAAAUUUUAAAAAUAACCAAAACAUUAAGUAUUUUUUUUAACUUCCAACCCACAAAGAAAUUGUUAUUUUGAGAUUCGUUGCACACUAACUCUCCUCACACAAAAAAAAAAAAGAAAUUAUUUUAUCUUAUUGAGUUUAUAAAAAUGAUUUUUCUUCAAUGAAUCUUAUGACACUUAAAAUUCAAUUUGAUGUUUACAUUACAUAGGUGGGUUCUAAUAACAAAUUUUCAAAAUUGAAAGAGAUUGAUAGGCUAACAAGAAAAAUAGCUGAUACUAAAAAAGAUAAAUUGUAUUAAUUGAUUUAUUUAUUGAUAACAUUAGCAUUGAUUUUACUAGUUGUCAUGACUAUAGUAGUAAAAUGCAUUUUCAACUAUGGAUUUUGUGAAAAAUCUUCUGUGAAAUCAAAUUAGAGAUUAAUAAUUGAGUAAUAUUAUUGUUGCACACGUAGAAAAAGAUUUAUUUUGUAUUCUUGAUGAUAAGUUUAUUUUUUAACGUUUUUUACAUAUGAAAACAUGUCGAGAUCAAUUAUAAAUGUAUUGAAUAUAUUAAUGAAUUUUUAUUUUUGAUACUUGUUACUUAUUGACUUUUUUUAGAUUACAUUAUUAUUUAAACUUAGCCCUUACUAAGAUAAAUUUCUGGCACCGCCACUGCUUUGAAUUGUACCAUAAUAGAAUUAUUAAGGAGAGGAACAACCUUCGGACUGUGUCAUGAUAAAAUUAUUAAGGAAAGUCUCAAUCGAUAGAAGAGUUAUGAUCAAUUUCUAAGUAUAAAUAUCAUUAGAUCUCUAAUUGUAAUAUAUCAAAAUAUAUAUAAAAAAAAAAAACUAUUUGCAACAUCAUUAUUCUUAUUCUAAUAUCAUGUUUGGAUGUUACCAAAUAAAACUGAAACUCUUCAAAGCGCACAUCUCAAACUACUACAACUUAUAACUACUUUUUUGAAUUAAAUAAAUAUCAUUAAUCUAAAGUUCUCCUAGUUCGAGGAUCCAAAAACGAACACUAUGAAUUCAAUGUAAAUUGGGUUUGGGAUCUUGAAUGACUGUGAAAGUUGGAAUGCAUUUUUUUUUUAAUUUUUGUGCAUUUUUUUUUAAUUUUUGUGCAUUUGUUGUUUAAAUAAAUAUUAUCUUCAGAAUUAAAGUGAGUGCUGAUAGCAGCAAGUGAUUUUAUAGUAUAAUUUAAUAGUGUUUACUUAAAAAAGGGUAACAAUAGGAUUUUAGAGAUGUGACAAUCCUUUAGCAAACUUAUCAUUUAUGUAAUAUUAAUAUAAAACUACAUCUUUCAAGCAUUGCAUUGAAACAUAAUCACAGAAUGCGCUUAUGGUCUUACAAAAACAUGUGCUACGUACUAGCAAGAUGUUAUUAUUGUUACUAUACAUUGCGGUUCCAUGCGUGCUUGUUGAAUAAUUUAUGUAUGACUGCCAGAUGGAUCUCUCAGAGGUGGUGGUGGAUGACCGACACGACGACGAGCAAAGGAUGGUUGCAAAAGAAGAAGCAUUAUUAUGCAGCAUAACUCCGAAAGAAACCAAAGCAGAUUGUUCAGCUUCAUCUCAUUUCUCAUUUUAAUUGCCCUCUUACCACAUAGAGUUUUCUAAAGAUGUAUACAAAAUUAUUAGAUGAAUGAGAAGAUAUAAGUUAUUAUAUAGGCCCCUUUCCUUCAACCAUUUUCCAGUCAAAAAAUUAUAAAAAACAAACGCAAAUAAGUCAAGUCAAUUUUCAUCUUGAACAAGUCGAAUGCAUAUAUAUUUUACCCGAUAUUCCUAUCCUAAGUGUGAAUCCAUAAAAGAAGUUGCUGACUUAAUUUUCUUGUUUCUCACUUUAUUUAAUUUUUAUAAAUUUGUCUCACGAUCAAUUAAUUGAAGAGUUUGGUGGAAAUUCAAUUUACUAUAAUCAGAUCAAUGUAAUUUAAUUAUUUUUCUAUUUACUUGAUGUCAGGAAAAUUAUGAAUACUUUGUAGAAUUUAAAGGAUUAAAAAUUCUAAUGCAUAUAAUUUUAUUUUUCAAACUGAAUAAACAUAUCAUUAUUGCUUCUUAGAACCUAUUACUUGUAUUUUAUGUUUCUGUCUCUUUUCAUAAUUUUUUUUUUACUUGAAAAUGUUAAUAAUCAUAAUAAAUUAGAUUGAAUUAAUAAUUUUUGCCUCUGUGAUAUAAAUAAUCGGUUUAUUGGAUUUUCUUCUCUUUCAUUGAUUUUGCAACUGUGACUUCUGAGUCCGGUUAAGGAUUAACAAAAACGUUGUAACCCACAAAGCACGCAUAAUCAAUGAAUGAGCCACACAGUUUUUGUAAAUAUCAGAACCAAAUGGGUGGUAUCUAUCACAAAUACAAGUCAAGCCACACAAUUUUUCUUCUUAUACUACUUAUUGGCACUUGUGAUCCUUGAAUUAUCAAACGAAUAGCAGGAACACUUCAACAUCUGUUGUCAUAGGGAGAGAAGUCCGCUCUCCCUUCGAUGUAAUACGCGGGCAAUUUACAUUGACUUUUCAUCAAAACAAGCAUUGUCCAAUUCAUUUGCACGGGGACAUUCCCCCCAUUCUUGUCUCAUAUGCGGGUGGGCACAAGCCGGUUUGGUUCGAGGGCAGAACCAAACUAAGAUCGAAACGAACUGAAACAAAUUAUUUUGGUUCGGUUUUGUUGGGCUUGCUUUGGAUAAUAAUUUUGAUAACUUUUCUUUUAUAUUUACUAAAAUUUUACACUUUUCACCUAAAUUUGUAUUCUUCUGUUAAUUCAAUUCAGUUGUGACCAUUACAAUUCAUGAGUUAUACAAAAUAUUAAUGUAAAAUAAUUUUAUAAUAAAUAAAUAUGGUCAUUUAUUAAAAAGUAAUACUUUUUUAUUUUAAACAGUGAACCAAUUGGUUCUCCAAUUUAUUUUGAACUGAAUUGAAUAAGAACCAUUCGGUUCUUAAAUUUCUAAACUAUUUAGUUUUUUUAAUCUAAAAACUUAAUUCAGAAGCAAACCGAAUACUAAGCCCUAGUGUCAUACUUAUCAUAUUUAAAUUUAAAAAUGUCACCAUAUCAAUAAGGUGAUAUGGAGAUUAUCUCACCUACUUUUUAUGUAUGUAUCUUCAUUAUACAAAAAAUAUAUAUAUAUAUAUAUAUUCGGUGCUCCUACUCAAUGGCAAAAUCAACAUUCUUUGAUGGACACCAAAAUGAUUAAAGUAUAACUUCAAGUUGGUUGUGACAUAAAAUCGGUGUUGUAAAUAGUGCGUUCGUAUAUUAUAAAAUACAAAUAUUCCCACUAAAAAAGAAUUAUUACAUACAUAUAUUUAUAGUGUUUUUACUCAAUUAACUAUUAUACUAUAUGAUGUAAUAGUGGAUCCGAAUGAAAUCUCCAUUUGGUAUCCAGGCCUCAAUAUAUAUAUAUGUUCUUCUAUAUUUUUAAUUCAACAAAUGAUAAUAUGUCACAUUAUUCUAAAACUGGGUAUUAUAUUUAAAAUUCUACAGUACUUAGAGGCUACUAGCCUCUAAUCUUUUGUCAUUAAUUAUUACUUGUUAGAAAAAAUUCAGAUGAAGUAUUGUAUUAAAAAUUUCAUGUACUUACAGGCUAUAGCUAGUCAGCCUCUAGUCUUUUUUCAUUAAUUAUUGCUUGUUAGAAAAUUCAGAUUUUAAUUUGCCAUGAAAUAUGUAUAGGAUCAUGAUCCUCUACGAUCCUUAUAGGUUACAGCUACCUAAUCUUUAAUCUUUUACAAGACUGGCUUUAACCAAUUGGGGCCUUAGGCAAAAUUUUAUUUUAGGUCCUCUAAUAUUAAAAUAUCAACUCCCACAAGAACAUUAAAUAGUUCAAAAAACUCUCACAAGAACAUUAAGUAACUCAAAAUUCAACUAUAUUUAAUAAUAUCUUGAAUUACAAAAAUUAUCAACAAGAUUCCAAAAAAAAAAUAAUAAUACGAAAGAUAUCUAUUUAUUUCCACACGAAUAUUAACUGACUUUGUCUUCCACAAAUUCCACCUUCUUAAGAUAGUCUGCAUCUUCAUCAGCCAUAACCAUAAUCUUCCUAUGAACUUUAAAUCACUGCUCCUACCUACUAUGAUCCUUGCUUGCUGCAAGCCAUCACUAAUGCAAAUUACUAAUCAAUUAAGUUUUAUUCUUCUUUCUUUUGUGAUGCAAAAUUAUUAAUUAAAAUGUUAUAUUCUAAUUUAGCUAACAAAUAUUUUUCAAUAGCUAAUAUAGCUAAUCCAUUCAAUUUUUCUUGUGAUAUUGUAGUUCUUAAAUAAGAUUUUAUUAACUUUAAUUUAGAAAAACUUGUCUCAACAAAAGCAAUUGUUACAGGUACUGUAAAUAAUAUUCUACAAGUAAGAAAUGCAUUUGGAAAAGAAUCUACCUUUUUAAUAUAAUUAAGUAUAUCAAGUGGAGUAUUUCUUUCAAUAUGCAAAAGUUCUUUUAAGACUUUUAACUCCGAAAACAAAUAUAAUCCAUCAAUAUCAGAAAACAUAUCAUAUUUCAAGAUAUUUUCAAGAUUAGUACAAUAACAUUUUAAACUUUCAUCAUCUAAUGAUUUUAAUUUUUCAAAAUUAAAUAAAAAUCUGAAAAUAUUUUCGUAGAAUUGAAGCUGCUUGAAUCUAUUGCUGAUUGAAGAAAUAUCUUGAUCUAUUACAUAUACAAAGUAAUCAAUUCUAAAAGAAUCUUUAGGAGAUAAUAUUCUCUCUUAGUUAUUAUUCUCACUAAAUUUAUUUUUUCUACAAAUUAUACAUUUUUCAUGAAAUUUUGGUUCUAUUUCCAUUUCAUUUGCAAUCUCUUUAGAUGAAAUCAUAGUAGAGACAAAACCAUUUUCUUUGUAAGCCCCGACAGAUGUACAUAAGACCUCUUAAUUGAUUUAUGACAACAUCAAUUUGCAUAUCUUCCUUCUGUAAACUUUUACUAACAGUGUUCACAACAAAUAAUAUAUCAUACCAAAUAAUCAUACCUAACAAAAAUUCAAAGUUUUCCAUUUCAUAUGUUGCUAAACGUUUAGCUUCGCUUUUUAUUUUAGGAUCUUCACCAACUUCUACUAAUUGAAGUAAAGCAUCUCCAAUUUGGGGUGCUUGAAAUCUUAUGGCUUUAACACUUUCUAUGCGACUCUCUUAACGUGUUUGUGACAAUGAUUUAACAAUUAAAUUAGGUAUAUUAUCUUGUAAAAUUUUUCAUCUCUUAGGUGAAGAAGAAGAUAGUGAAUAAACACGUUGAACAACUCCAAAAAAUGAAAUAACUUUAGGACAAGAAUUAGCCACAUCACAAAGUACUAAGUUAAUACUACGACAACCACAUGGUAUAUAAAAUGCUCUGAGAUUUUUAUCUAAUGAUCUUUUUUGCACACCUGGAUUUUUUUUCCUUUCAUAUUAAAUCCAUUAUCAUAUCCUUGUCCUCUUAUGUUAUUAAUAUCAAGGUCAAGAGUUUUAAUUACAUCCACAAGUUCAUUCAAAAGAGCUUUUCUAAUGGUAUUGUCAACUUAUAAAAAUCUUAAAAAAUAUUAUUCUACCUUGAUUAGAUUUGUUGAAAUAUCCACACAUCUUAAUAUAAGAGACAUUUUUUCUUGGUGGCUUGCAUUUGUAUAAUCAAGUAUAACUGAAAAAUACUUUGCUUCCUUAGCUUUGUUAACAAUUGAUUUUUUUUUUUUUAUUUCAAGUGCUACCAUCAAUACCAAUUCAUUUUGUAUAUUAUUUCCAAGACAAUGAUCAUGAAUUUCACGGAUUUUAAUAUGCCGAAUAUAUUCUUGCAUUGUUGGAUCAAACUCUACAAUCAUUUCAAUUAAACUUAAAAAAAAUUUAAGUUCAAUUAUUUUUAGCAAGAUGCUAAAAUGCUAAAUUAUUUUUGGCAAGAUUCAUUACAACAACCAUAAUUCUUAUUAGUGCUUUUUGUCAAUGCUCUUUUUCUUUGUCAAUUCUUUCUCGAACAUCUUUAUCAAUCAUUUUUCUUUUCGAUAGUUUUACUUCUAAAUCAACCCAUGCAUUCACAUUGGUUUUUUUGUGACUUUAAAGUUUAGAAUAAAGAUUUUUCCAAUCUCUUGUUCCUUUAUCAUUAAGCUGAUUUUUGCUACAAUUUGUAUUGAGUAAUUGCAACAAAAACAAUAUACUUUGUCGAAAUCCGUUGAUUCUAUUAACCAUUUUCUAUCAUGUUUUUCUCCAUUUGGUAAUUUUGACAUGAAAUGCAGUAGAGAAAUGUCUAGGACUUUCAUCUUUGGGGAAAGUUAAAUCAUUCUCUCUAUUUGGGCCUUGUUCUACUAAAAGAUCUCUUAACUUUGUAUCAACAUUUUCCCAUGUUCCUAGAUUAUAAAUAUUAUUUAAAACAAAUAAAUUUCCUACAUCAACUUUGUCUGUAUUUUUAUUGUUAUCAUCUUCAAUGUUGUUUAUUUCAUUCACUGUUUCGUCAUUUUUUAAUUCAUUGGAAAUUGGUUGUUCUGUUAACUUCAUUAUUUAUAGAGUUGGGAUCUUAUGGCAAGUUUAGUUAAAUUGAAAUUUUAUUUAUCACAUAUCUGUUAACAUAUAUGUUUCUAUAAUAUUGAUUUUGAUGAUAACAAACAAGAUUAAGAAUGAUUAAUCUUUUAAGAUCAAAUUAUUUUUUAUACAUUUUAAAUAAAUCAUUAUUUUCACAUUUUAAAGGUUUUAUAUUUAAUGGAAAAAUGAUUUUAUGAAAUUGGUUGUUUUUCAAAGUUUAUGGUUUUAUUGAAAGAGUUUUGAAAACUUUGAAAUCAACAAGUAUUGCUUAAAAUUUUGGAGAAAGACUUAUUUGAAAAGUGUCAUAACAUUUUGGGCUAUAUCAUAAUUUCAGAAAGUUUUGAGAUUAACAAAGCAUUAUUUAGAAAUUCUGAAAGUGGACCUAUUUGCAAACUUUCAUAACGUUUUGGGCCAUAAUACAGUUUUAUAAAGGUUUAGGGUCAAACUGUAAAUUUGAAAAAUAAUUUCACUGUAGCAAUCACUGUAGCAAACGGCUAACCGUUUAUUUAAAAAUGGCUAACCGAUAAUUUUCAGAAAGCAUGUUCUGCAAAGUAUUGUUAAAAUGAUGAUUCUGGAAACUAACGGUGAACCGUUUACUGAAAACGGUUAACCAAUUAUUUCCAGAUUGCUAACCUUGAACCGUUUAGUAAGAACGGUUAAACCAAAUUUGUUUUGCAGGUCUCUGGAAAUUAACGGCGAAAGGGUAAGCCUAAAUGGCUAACCGUUUAUUUGAAAAUUGGCCCAACGGUAACUUUGACCGGCCUAAACGGUUAACCGUUAAUGGUUAACGGCGAACCGUUUUCGAGCAGACAGUCUGUAACGGCUAGUUUUUCAGCUUCAACUAUAAAUAAGCUCAAUCCAAUUCAAACAAGAAGAAUUCCAACGAUCAUCAUUGAGCAAAACAUUGAGAAUACAACUUUCAUUGAGCAUUAAAUCUUUGUAUUCAUCUCAUUCAUUCACACAUUGAGCUUUCACUUGUGAUCAAACACAUUGUGUGAGAGAGAUUCAUUUGUAAUCUUUUUUGUAAAAUCAAGUUAAAAGAUUGUAAGUGUUGGGAUACACUUGGGUUAAGAGAUUGGGGAUAAUCUCUUGUUGUAAAGGUCCAUUGACACCUUGGAAGUCAAUUGUAAGCGUUUGAAGCCUUGGGAGGCUAGCUUAGUGAAAUCCUCAAGCCCGGUGUGCUUGGAGGCGUGGACGUAGGCGGGGAUUGCCGAACCACGUAAAAAUCCUUGAGUUUGCUUUCUCUUCCCUUACUCAUUUAUUAUUGUGCUUUUAUUGAAUUUAUUGUUUUCGAAUUUAUUAAGGCAUUAGAUUAAAUUGUUGUGUGGUUUGCCUAGGAUAAUUUUUAAAAUCACAAUUCACCCCCCUCUUGGGUUGCCUAGUUAGUAUUUCAAUAUCUUGUAAUAAUGAUUAAUUUUUUAAUUCCCUAAUUUAGUGAGAUUCCAAUUUAUUAGAAAUAUUUAUUUCCUAAUUUAAUUAGAUGUCUAAUUUAGCAAGUCAAUUAAUGAUGGGAUUCUAUAAUUGACGCAUGAGAUCUAUUUACAAGAAGAAGUUGGUUCAAAUAAGAAGUUUAUUAAAUGCUCUAGAUGUUUCUUGGGAGACAAGCAAAACAAAAAGAUCAGAUUUAUUCCUAUUCAGAUUCAUAGGAAUUAUAAGGAAAAAAAAUCUUAUUUGGAAAGAAUCCAAGUCUUUUAAGACUUACUAUUUUUGUGAAACCCUAUUACCUAUAUAAAGAGAUGUAUUUCACAAUUAAAGGUAUGCAACACAGAGUAAAAAGUAGAGAUGCAAAAUUCGGCCUCCUCCUUAGAGAAUCUGAAUUUGGCACAUAAUGUUGUGUUGAUUUAUUUUCUUAUCUUCGUUCAUCUCUGUGGAGAGUCUAUGUGGAUCUUGUAUCACUAGACAAUAAAGAAUUGAAUGAUUGUUAUUGAUCACUUUGCGAAGUGUCUUAAGGAUCGUGGAUCAAGAGGAGUAAUGAUUAUUUAAGAGAAGCAGAUUCAGUCUAAGGUUGAGUAAACUAUAUGGUGAUAAACCGUUAGUGAGAGUCUUAAGUAUGGUAAAUUUAUAGGUUGUAACAUCUCAACUUAGUGAAUUACUUUUCAUCUGGGCGUGGCCUUGUAGAUGUAGAAUUGAUUAAUCCGAAUAACGUAAAAAUCUCCGUGUCAUUUAUUUUUUGCAAUUUAUUGUGUUUUUAAAUAUUAAUAUUUUUUAUGUGGAUGAACAGUAACGGUGAACAAUAACAAUGAACAUUAUUUUCAAAAUUUAUUUAAGUUGUUAAUUCUAUGGUUUUAGUUGCCUACAUCUAUUUGCAAUAGAUUUAAAUUCAUUUUAUGUUCAAUAACUAAUUUUCACUUAAAUUUAUAUCUUUUUUAUUAGUUGUGACAAAUUUAUCAAGAGCUCCUUUUUUAGAUUGGGCUGACUUUUCUAUUCUCCUCUUUUUUUUUAGUAGCUUUUCAUAUCCUGAUACAUAUUUUCUAGUUGACAUGUUUUUCAAAUCUAAAAUGCAAACAAAUAAACAAACACAAUUUCUUUUCUAGAUUAUUCAAGCCAUGAUCAAUACGAAAAAUAAAAAAAUAAAUUAAAUUUUAAAAAGGAUAAGAACAGUAAUAAUUAAAAAUAGAAAAAAUAGAAUGAUAGCACUUAGAAUUAAGCUAAUUAACUAGUUGAGUUGAAUAUGAUGAUGGCAAUUAAUUUUGUAGUGAAACAUAAGAGAGCACAACAACUUUGUGCUGAAAGUAUCCUUAAUUCAAUGUAUAUCGGUUUAUAGAUAAUGAGUUUUUAAAUAUAUUUUAAUAGAAUACUAAAAGUUAGCUCUCAAAAAUCUAAUGUUACUAAUUUUUUUGAGAGCUAUUUUUGGAAAGGGAAAGCAUUAGUUUUUUUUUUUGGAAAUAGUAAAAAUAAAAAAUAAAGAAUUAACAUUCAAAAUAACUAUUAUACCAUAAAAAUAUAUCUUAUAUUCCAAGUAAAGAUUAUCAAAUAAGAGAGAUAACUAUGAAUGAGAGUAAUAAUAGGGUAAAGCUAAAAAAUUAGUCUCUUCUAUUGUAGAAAAAAAAAUAUGCCUAACUUAAUUUUUUUAAUCUUAAAAAAAUUAAUUAUACUAAUUAAUAAAUAAAUACCCAAAAAAUUAGGUUUUCCUAAAUACAGGGCCCUAAGCAACUGCCUAGUUCUCCUAGUGCUAAAGUCACCACUGAUCUUUUGUCACUAAUUAUUACUUGUUAGAAAAUUCAUAUUGUUAAUUUGCCAUGAAAAUAUACAUGAUCAUUUUCUAAUCUAAUUUUUUGUAAGGUUUGCAAGAGAAUAAUACCUUUGUAAUUUUAGUUUUGUGAUGGAUAAAUUUUUUGAAAUAAAUUUUAGGCCAUGUAGCAUUAGUAAAGAUAAUGGGUUUUGACUUUUUUACACUAUAAAACUCAUUUACCUGAACUAGGUUUUGUGCACUUAUUAUUCAUGUAAAUAUAAUUUUAUUAAUCAUUUUAUAUAUACUUCAUUAAUUUAAAUCAAUAUAUAUACAUUCCACUACUUUUAGCGACCUUUGCCUCAGGUAUUGGCUCUACUAACAGAUGCUAAAACAAAUCUCAUGCUUUCUAUAUUUAAAACUUAUAAGCUUCAAAUCUACAGAAAAAGUAGAUUUUAAUACAGAAAUUAACCCCCCCAAAAAAAAACUCAUAAGCUAUCAUAGAUUAAGAUGGCUAGCAGGAAAUAAAACUAACACAUAUUUACAAAUAUUCUACAAGCAAUAUUAAGCAUCCUAACAUCGAAGUCUUAAUUUGAGUUUCAACUGACAUGACAUUAAUUCAUUAAAUGAUAAUUAAGUAAUUUUAUAAAUUAUAAAUUCAUCAUUCAAUGGCUGAGUAAGGCAUGCAUUAAACUUAACUUGGGACUCAAAUGUUAAAAUCCUUAACUUUAUUGAUAAUAAUACUACAUCUAGAUGGAAAUAAAAUCACCAAAAAUCUAUGUAUUUGGGUGGAAAAUUGGAAAUAGAACACUUUCAAGUUAAAAACUAAAAGAAAGUACUAAAAUUAAAAAGAGGGUGUUAACAUGAGAGGAAGUAGAAGCUUCCUCCCCCUGAAGUAUAUGGAUGCUUUUGCUGUGAAGCAAAGAUGAGCACAGAGAGAGACAGAAAGAGAAAAGUAGCUUCUACUUCUUAUAAGAUUCCACUUAAAUUUGCACAAAUAACUAUCAGGCAACUAAUCCAAAUAAGUGAAGCUCUCAAAGGACGAAUAUACCAAUAAAAGAUAAUGUUUUUUUUUUUCACGUAUGGAGACGGCGGCGAACGCAAUAGACAAUCUUUGAUGUGACCUGUUGUGUUGAUGCGAGAUUCUGGUUGUCCUCGUUUUACGACCAGGGUCUCUGCUCGAUCAACUUCACCACGACCAGGAUCUCUCCUCGUAAAGCUUCUUCUCCAGAGGUUCCUGCACACACAGACAGGUCAGAGUACGCCGGUUGUUUUCCCGGCGCAAACCCUCCGACGCUCAAGUCAGAUAUGAAGGUUCGGGGAACACUUGCCACAGAUCUUAUGGCUUUUGGGUAGUUUUCUCUUCUUUAGAAUUUCUUUUAUCUCUCUUCUAAUCUCAAAAUUGCUAACCUUUUUACCUUCGUUGGCUACCUUUUUAUAGGUUUCCUCUGAAUCCCAGUUUUCCGCAGUCUACGUCCGUUAUCCUCCCACCUCUCGAACGUGGAUUCCCCAUUUCCGUAGUCGUGGGUGGUUGCGUGGCCUUCGUGCCUAGAUUCUCGGGCUGGAGAGCAUGCCUUGCCAACUGUCGUUGACCGGGUCUCCUCGAAUCAACCCUUAGCAAGAAUACAGCAGGAAUGGCUUUAUGCUUCUUACAGGAAAUUGGCCUCGCGGAUGACGUGCUCGUGGAUGAGCAGGAUAUUCCUGCCCCUGUUUCCCUGCUACCUGGCUCUUACAGGACACACCUGCUCGCAGACUUCUGCCACCAAACAUCUGCUCAUCACGUCUGGUCUCGUCGGAGUAUUUCCCUCAAACACCGGUCCCCCAGUUUCUGGUGUUGGGUAAUGUAAUGGACCAGCAGUAGAAACUUAGCGGUUCUUGGUCGGGUGGGACUGGAAAGGGCCUCGAGGAGGAGCUGACCAAGGUCAAGGAGGAUCUUCAAAGGCAGAAGGCUAUGUAUGAGGCUCAGCUCGAAUCUCUCCGUGAUUCCCACCGGGUUCAGGUCGAGAACUUAGAGAAGGAGGCUGACAACCAGUACGACCAGGGACUUCGGCAUUCCUAUCGUUGCAUCAUGGCCGUCCUCGGGAAGCAACACCCUGAUCUGAAGAUGGAUGACCUUGCAGCUGGUGUUGCUCAACAUAUGGACGAGGAGGCGGCCAAGGAAGACGAUGAAGGGGUAGAGCCGAUAGUGAUUGAGGAGGAAAACUCUCCUCCUCGUGCAGUACCUGCUGAUGUUGGCGAGGCGAGCACCCCCCGGACGCAACUGGUGAUACCCCCCCUGCACCUGAGGAGGUCCAGCCAACUGAUGCUGCUCGGCUUACUGAUCCACCAUCUUCUUGAUAUAUUUCUUGCAUUGUAAUGAACAAUGUUUGUGAAGAUUAUCUCUUCUGUUAAUUAUUAACAAAUUAAUAAAGAUGUUUUUGAUUACUUUCUUGUGUUGUAAUCAUGAGUUAUUUUUCGUUUAAGACUUUGCUCGUCAUCGUCUGGUUGAGCAGGUUCUGGCUUGGCAUAUGGUUUUGCCACAUGCCCUAGAAAAUUCUUCAAUGCUUGAGAUUCUGCUCGCCUUCGCGUGGUCGAGCAGAUCCUGGUAUGCUUGGCUUCUGUCUCGCCAUAAAUAGGCUUUGAGACUUGACGAGCCUUUGCAUGCCUUAGAAAAUAUUCGGAUGCUUGGGGAUUCUGCUCGCCGUCACGUGGUCGAGCAGAUCCUGGCACGCUUGGCUUCUGUCUCGCCAUAAACAGGCUUUGAGACUUGGUGAGCCUUUGCAUGCCUUAGAAAAUAUUCGGAUGCUUGGGGAUUCUGCUCGCCGUCACGUGGUCGAGCAGAUCCUGGCACGCUUGGCUUCUGUCUCGCCAUAAACAGGCUUUGAGACUUGGUGAGCCUUUGCAUGCCUUAGGUAAUUUCUUCAAAGCUUGGGAUUCUGCUUGCCUUCUCGUGGCCGAGCAGAUCCUGGCACGCUUGGCUUCUGGUCUCGCCAUAAACAGGCUUUGAGACUUUGUCGAGCCUUUGCAUGCCUUAGGUAGUUUCUUCAAAGCUUGGGAUUCUGCUUGCCUUCUCGUGGCCGAGCAGAUCCUGGCACGCUUGGCUUCUGGUCUCGCCAUAAACAGGCUUUGAGACUUGUCGAGCCUUUGCAUGCCUUAGGUAGUUUCUUCAAAGCUUGGGAUUCUGCUUGCCUUCUCGUGGCCGAGCAGAUCCUGGCACGCUUGGCUUCUGGUCUCGCCAUAAACAGGCUUUGAGACUUUGUCGAGCCUUUGCAUGCCUUAGAUAAUUUCUUCAAAGCUGGGGAUUCUGCUCGUCUUCUCGUGGCCGAGCAGAUCCUGGCACGCUUGGCUUCUGGUCUCGCCAUAAACAGGCUUUGAGACUUGUCGAGCCUUUGCAUGCCUUAGGUAAUUUCUUCGAAGCUUGGGAUUCUGCUAGCCUUCUCGUGGCCGAGCAGAUCCUGGCACGCUUGGCUUCUGGUCUCGCCAUAAACAGGCUUUGAGACUUUGUCGAGCCUUUGCAUGCCUUAGAUAAUUUCUUCAAAGCUGGGGAUUCUGCUCGCCUUCUCGUGGCCGAGCAGAUCCUGGCACGCUUGGCUUCUGGUCUCGCCAUAAACAGGCUUUGAGACUUUGUCGAGCCUUUGCAUGCCUUAGAUAAUUUCUUCAAAGCUGGGGACUCUGCUCGCCUUCUCGUGGCCGAGCAGAUCCUGGCACGCUUGGCUUCUGGUCUCGCCAUAAACAGGCUUUGAGACUUGUCGAGCCUUUGCAUGCCUUAGGUAAUUUCUUCAAAGCUUGGGAUUCUGCUAGCCUUCUCGUGGCCGAGCAGAUCCUGGCACGCUUGGCUUCUGGUCUCGCCAUAAACAGGCUUUGAGACUUUGUCGAGCCUUUGCAUGCCUUAGGAAUUUUUCACAGUUUCAAGCGAAUGAAAUUCCUCGACGUUCCAUUCAUGGCAGGAUUCAACUUACAUGAAAUUGUUUGGACAUAAAACAUAAAAAGAUAAACGAUAAUGAACACGAGCAGAAAUAGCUUUCAAAUGUGAACAAGUCUUACUGGAAGUAUUUUCGGAGGUGUGCUGCGUUCCAUGGGCGUUUCACCUCGUGGCCGUCCGUGCGAACCAGCUUGUAAGCUCCGGGUCCCACUAUCUGCUUGACUCUAUAUGGCCCUUCCCAAUUCGGUCCCAGCACUCCUUGAGUCGAAUCUUUGGUGCUCUGAUUCACUCUUCUCAGUACCCAGUCUCCGACCCUGAAUUGCCGUACAUUCACCUUCUGGUUAUAAUAACGAGCAACCCUUUGCUGGUAAAUGGCUGAUCGACCAGCUGCUUGCUCCCUCUUCUCCGUUAGCAGAUCAAGAUUCAAACACAUCUGCUCGUCGUUCUCCUGCUCAUUGAAAUGGUCUGUCCGGUGCGUGGUCGUUCCUAUCUCAGCUGGUACGACCGCUUCAUGUCCGAAAGCCAGGGCGAACGGUGUCUCCCCAGUUGCUGUUUUGUGGGUUGUCCUGUAUGCCCAUAGGACACCUGACAGCUCAUCAACCCAUGUACCCUUUUUUGCUCCAAGCCUGGUUUUCAAAAGUCUCUUGAUGGUCUUGUUGGCUGCUUCUACUUGUCCAUUCGAUUGAGGGUGAGCAGGCGAGCAAUACUUCAGCUCUAUCCCGAGGUUCUUGCAGAAAUCCCUAAAGCUGUGAUUAUCGAACUGCCUGCCAUUAUCCGUUACCAAGGCAUAAGGGAUCCCGUAUCGACAGACCAGGUUUCUCCACACAAAGUCUGUCGUUUUCUUCUCUGUAAUCCUGUUAAGGGCUUCGACCUCUAUCCACUUCGUGAAGUAAUCUAUAGCAACUAUUGCAUGCGUUGCUGCUCCUCGUCCCUUUGGCAGCGGGCCGAUCAGAUCAAUUCCCCAUUGAGCAAAUGGCCAAGGGGAGGCCAUAGAGGUGAGCUUCUCUGGUGGUUGGUUGGGGAAACUUGCAAAACUCUGGCAGCUUACACAGCUCCUGGUCUUCUCCUGUGCAUCCUGUGCAUUGUCGGCCAGAAAUAUCCCUGCCUUAGAACCUUGUGGGCCAGGGAUCUCCCACCAGAAUGAUUCCCGCAAAUUCCUUCAUGUACUUCUCUCAGUACGUAAUCCGCGUCGUCCUCAUCCAAACAUCGAAGGAAAGGUAGUGUAUAUCCUCGCCGAUACAGUAUCCCAUCAAUCAUGGUGUAUCUCGAGGCCUGAGCUCUAAUCUUCCGAGCUCGCAGCUUAUCUGGUGGUAAUACCCCGUCUCUAAGGUAUGAAACUAUCGGGUCCAUCCACGAGCAUUUCUGUUCUAUCCGCAGCACCCCCGAAUUCGGCUCGAUGCUCGGGCUGGACUUCACCUCCAGAGGGAUUGACUUUGGCAUUUUUGGGUCUGCUACCGCUGCCAUCCUGGCCAAAAUAUCUGCUCGACUAUUCUGCUCCCUUGGGAUUUGUACUACCUCCACCGCUUCGAAUUUUCCCAUCAUCUGCCUGACUAUCUUCAAGUACUGCUCCAUCUUCUCCUCUCUUGGUUGGAAUCUUUCACUGACAUGAUUCGCAACCAGCUGGGAAUCAAUUCUGAUCUUCACUCUAUCUGCUCUCACGGCCUUAGCCAGUUCCAAUCCUGCUAUCAAGGCUUCAUACUCUGCCUGGUUAUUUGUUGCUGCGAAUUCUAACUUUACAGCAUAAGAGAUCUCCUCCCCCUCCGGGCCUUCCAAUACAAUCCCUACUCCUGAUCCCUGCUCCCCUGAUGACUCAUCUACAGACAUUUGCCAUACUUGAGCUUCGCCACUUUCUGCAACUACAUCUUGUUGGUCUAAACAUACUUCAGGCUCUGUGAAUUCUGCUACGAAAUCGGCCAUUGCCUGAGCCCUUAUCGCUGCUCGGGGUUUGUAGUCUAUGUCGAACUCGCUCAGCUCUAUAGCCCACUUGACGAGCCGACCAGAAGCAUCGGGCUUGUGCAGAGUUUGACGCAAUGGCUGGUUUGUUAUAACCGAGACUGGGAAUGCCUGAAAAUAUGGCCUCAACUUCCGAACAGCAACCACAAGGGCAAGUGCCCAUUUCUCCAACGGUAGGUAUCUGGUCUCAGCGUCGAGCAGGGCCUUGCUGGUGUAGUAUAUUGGAUACUGAACUCCUUCUUCCUCUCUCACCAGAACAGAACUGGCGGCCCGAUCCGUUACCACCAGAUACAAAAAUAACUUGUCCUCAUCCCUCGGUGUGGAUAGCAGAGGGGCUUGCUGUAAAUACUGCUUCAAGUUCUGAAAGGCUUCCUCGCAUUCCGGGGUCCACUCUGUUUUCUUUCCCCUCCUUAUCACUUGAAAGAAUGGUUGACACUUAUCUGUAGCCUUGGAUAUGAACCGGCUCAAUGCCGCCAAUCUCCCCGUAAGGCUUUGUAUUUCCUUCAGGCUACGAGGAGACCUCAUCUGCACGAUCGCCUGGAUCUUCUCAGGAUUUGCUUCGAUCCCCCGAUGACUCACCAUGAAUCCAAGGAACUUCCCCGACUCGACCCCAAAAGCACAUUUCUCCAGGUUGAGCUUCAUCUUAUACUUCCUCAAAAGCUCGAAUGUCUCCUCGAGGUGUCUGACAUGUUCCUUCGGGAUUUUGGACUUGGUGAUCAUAUCAUCCACGUACACCUCCAUGGUUUUCCCAAUCAACGGCUUAAAGACUUUGUUCACCAGCCUCUGAUAGGUGGCCCCAGCAUUUUUGAGACCAAAUGGCAUUACCCUGUAACAGAACAAACCCUGGUUAGUGAUGAAAGCUGUGCUCUCCUCGUCCUGCUCGUACAUGGGGAUCUGGUUGUAUCCCGAGAACGCGUCCAUGAAGCUAAGCAGAGCGUGUCCAGCCGUUGAAUCUACUAGCUGAUUGAUCUUUGGUAAAGGGAAGCUGUCCUUUGGGCACGCCUUAUUGAGGUCUGUGAAAUCCACACACAUCCUCCACUUGCCAUUCGCUUUCUUUACCAACACCACAUUCGAUAUCCAUUCAGGGUAAUUGACUUCCCGAAUGAACCCUGCUCUCAAGAGCUUCUCCACCUCGCCAUUUAUAGCCUCAUACCUCUCCUGGUUGAAGCACCUCCUCUUCUGCCUUACUGCCCGAGCACCUUUCUUUAUUGCCAGCUUAUGACAUGCUUCCUCAGGGUCAAUCCCUGGUAUGUCUUCAUGUGUCCAAGCAAACACAUCUGCAUGAGCCUGUAAGCAUUUCACCAACUCCUGCUUUUGCUCUCCCUUAAGUCUCGACCCGAUUCUGAUUGUCUUUCCCGGAUUCUCUGGUCCCAGGCUUACAGUUUCCAGAUCCUCUACAGGUUCUUGUCUGCCAUUCUUGUUUUCCACUCGGGUGUCGAGGGAUGUUAUCUGCAUUGCUUCCCCUGUUUCCAUCGCUUUUCACUUGCCUCACUCCUCUUCUUACUAUCAACAGAAGCUUUUUGAUCAGCUCCCCACAGACGGCGCCAAAAUGUUGAUGCGAGAUUCUGGUUGUCCUCGUUCUACGACCAGGGUCUCUGCUCGAUCAACUUCACCACGACCAGGAUCUCUCCUCGUAAAGCUUCUUCUCCAGAGGUUCCUGUGCACACAGACAGGUCAGAGUACGCCGGUUGUUUUCCCGGCGCAAACCCUCCGACGCUCAAGUCAGAUAUGAAGGUUCGGGGAACAUUUGCCACAGAUCUUAUGGCUUUUGGGUAGUUUUCUCUUCUUUAGAAUUUCUUUUAUCUCUCUUCUAAUCUCAAAAUUGCUAACCUUUUUACCUUCGUUGGCUACCUUUUUAUAGGCUUCCUCUGAAUCCUAGUUUUCUGCUGUCUACGUCUGUUAUCCUCCCACCUCUCGAACGUGGAUUCCCCAUUUCCAUAGUCGUGGGUGGUUGCGUGGCCUUCGUGCCUAGAUUCUCGGGCUGGAGAGCAUGCCUUGCCAACUGUCGUUGACCGGGUCUCCUCGAAUCAACCCUUAGCAAGAAUACAGCAGGAAUGGCUUUAUGCUUCUUACAGGAAAUUGGCCUCGCGGAUGACGUGCUCGUGGAUGAGCAGGAUAUUCCUGCCCCUGUUUCCCUGCUACCUGGCUCUUACAGGACACACCUGCUCGCAGACUUCUGCCACCAAACAUCUGCACAUCACGUCUGGUCUCGUCGGAGUAUUUCCCUCAAACAUGUUGUACGACCAAUGGGUGGAUAUUUACGAAGAAGCAAUAUGCAGCGGCACAUGUACAACGUUACAGGAAACAAUAGCUGCUUCAUCUCCUCUUCUCUCUCAAUCCUAUAGAUCCUUUAAUUACUUCAAUUUUGCUGUAUCCGCUGGCUGGCCGUCUCUUCGAGAUCGUGCAAAUUUGAAGUUAUAUAUAGAUGUUUAUAUAGGUCGUUUAAUUGCAUCCAGCCAUCCAUGCGUUUCAUUCAAAAACAUGGAACACAAAUAAUCUAGAUAUUUUGGCUGAAAUUCCAACCCAAAAAUAACACGGAGUACAAGAAAUGUUGGAAACUGCGGCUACUUUUGGUAUUGUGCCUAGGGGUGGCAAAAAAGCUCGGGCCAAGCCCGUUCGGCCCAGUCCAAGCCCAGGCCUGGACAAUGGUCCAAGAAAAAAAGCUCGGACAAAGUUCAAGCCAUUACUUUUUUAAAAAAAAAAAUUAUAAAUUAGAAUAAUAUAAUUAAAAUUAAAAAGUAAUUAAAAAAACUUAAAUUCUUAACUUAUAAAUCAAUUAUGAUUCAAAAAAACUUAAAUUUUGAUACUAAAUUCUCUCUUUUGUGUCAAUUAAUUAAGAGAGUAUUUGAAUUAGAAAAUUCAGUAUUGAAGAAAAUUAAAAUUAUGAGUUUUUAUUUGCUUUAUUUAUUAUUUUAAUUUGAAAUAUUCAUUUUCUUUAAUUUAUCUAUGAUUGUAAUAACUUGUUGAUCAUUAAUUUAUUUCAAAUUUAUAAUAAUUGAAAAUUUUUAAAAUAAAUAAAUAAAUAAAGCCCAAGCCCGGCCCGUACACUUAGCUGACAAAAGGCCUGGACAUGGGCUUGAAAAAGCCCGACCCAGGCCCGCUGUUUGCCAUCCCUAAUUGUGCCACUGUUCUACGAAAUAAAAGUUAAUUAACGAUGUUAUGAUAAUUUUGAUAAAAUAAUAAAGAUCAAACAACUGUAUACAGUACAAAAUCACCUUAGUUUCUACAUUAAGUAUUUUACUAAACACUUUAAAGAUACAGUUUUAAAUUAAGUGAUCCUAUCUAGAUCUAAACUCACUUGAACUUUUAAAAAUACAUGGGUAUAAGAUUUAACUUUUUUUAUUUAUUUAUUAACCACCAAUCACCCCUUGAAUUUUUGUUCAGUAUAAGAUCAUAUCAUGAAAUAAUCAUGGUGCAACCAUAACUCCUGAACGACACUAUAGCAUAUGGGUUGGUAUUUCAAAAUACCAAUGGUAGUGUCGUUAAGGUGCACCAAAUUUAAAACCUUACCACUUAUAUAAAUAAUUAGUACAGAGCGAGUAAGGAUCGAUCCCACAGAGACUAUACUAGUUAUAUUUAUUAUUAAUUCCAAAACAAGAUUUAAAAUAAAAUAAUAGUAAUAGUAAUAAUAAUAUAAAUUAAUCUAACUAAAGAAAAUGCCAAUUAAAAAUAAAAGGGGGGUUUAUGAAUUUUUAACUAAAUAGUAAGAAAUAAAGAAAUUAAAAUUACGAACAAGAAUUUAAUAAAAACUCUAAUUAAAAGAGAAAGAAAUAAUAAUGACGAAAACUUUGGUUAAAGGAUCAUUCGCCACCACAAAACAUGCACAUAAUAUAUUAAUUCUAUCAUCAAUUUAUAUUGAAACUAUCAACCGUAGACAACAAUAAGCUCUGUUAGUCUCAAUCUUUCCUUAGUGUGUCGUUAGGCAAAACAAGCUCUUCACCUAAUCUCUAACCAUUAAAUAAUUUAAAACAAGCUCUUUAAAUUUAAGAUAAUGAAAGCAUUAAACAGAGAAAGAUAUUAGGUUGAUCUAGGCAAUAAACACACAAGCUCGGAUUAUUUAACCUAGGUUAUGUUCUUCAAUUGAAAUCACUAAUUCCAACCUGCUACUAAUGAUUAAAAUAUCAAGACAAUUACGGAUCAAGAAUUUUAAUCUAGCAAUAAAAUUUAUUCAAGUCCUAUCUAAUUGGCCACUCAAACAAAACAAGAAUAAACCAUGAACAUUAAUUAUAGAAGAACAUAAACAAUCUCAAUUAAAUAAAUUGAAUAGUAGAAUUUAAAUUUAAUUGCAUAGCAUGUUUAGGGUUUUGAAUUCACCCUCAACCAAAUAAAAAUCUAGCCUAACAUAAUUGAAUUGGGAAUAAGAGAAUUGACAAAACCAAUCAUGGAAAUUAAUUCAAGCGGCUGCCUUUUUCUUCAAUUGAAUUCCGGCUGCUGAUUCAAUUGAAUUCCGGCUGCUGACUUUUUCUUCUUACUGCCGAAUUGGAUCUGCCCUCCUCCUUAUUUUCUCUUCUCUGCCCGAAAUCUCCUUCUUGUGUGGCUGCCUUUCUUCCCUUUUAUAAUGUUGUGGUUUCUUCCAAAUCCUUAAAGGAAAAGGAUUGCAAAUCCAGUCCACGAAUCCUUAAAUGAAAAGAAUUAAAAACAAAGCCCAACCGCCUAUUUCAUUCCUAAGCCAAUCAUAAUUAAAAGCAAAAGCCCCUCCACGUGUUGCAUGCAUGCUUAAUGAUUAAUUAAUUUAAAUCUUUUGUGAUUUGUUCUAAGUAAUUCUCUUUAUUUUCUUUCCUUUUUUUAUUCCUUUAAAUGGAUUUCCUCCUGAAUGUUCCAAUUUAUUCUUCUUUAAUCCCAUAUUGUACCAAAAAUAAUAAAAUAUAAAAGUAAAAAUAAAAAUUAACACAAUAAAAUAUAAUUUACUAAAUUAAAGAUUAACUAAAAUAACUAGAAUAUUUAAAACCAAAAUAAGAAAAAGAUGAAGAAAUUAAUAGCAAAAUAUAUGGAAAAUAUGCACUUAUCAAAUUCCCCCACACUUACCCUUUGCUCGUCCUCGAGUAAACCUAGAACAAAAAUAAAAAGAAAACCUAAACUAGUCCACUUUCGUAGGAAAUCACGAUUGCAUUUAGCGUAUGCAACAAGCCUUUAAACCCCUAGGCGGCCUUAGUGGACGAGUUAUAGUCUCGUGAGGGCUUCAGCGAUGAUACCCACAAACAUCAUUGUAAUUUUUUUUUUUAUUUUAGCAGAAAAAGAACAAAGGAAUUUAAAAUAAAAAUAGCCUCAAAGAUUGCAUAAAUCAUAUAGCUCAAAGAAAAUUUCAAAUAUUAUCGAAGUUCUAACUUUAAUUCAAUAGUCAAUCACAUCUCUCUUUUGAUUCUCAUAAUGUGUGUGUGAAUCAAUUCAAUUAAAAUCCAUUCCCAAAAUCUUCAAUAUCAACAGCCUUUGCCUUGAACAAAGAAAAGAGUAGGUCAAACUAAUCUUAUCAUCUUGAUCUCUAAAAUUUUUUUUUCUUUUACAGGCAUUUGUGUGCAUUUUCUUUUGAGGUUCUUUUUUUUUUUUUUUAUAGUCAGGAGUUUUCACUCUACCCCUUAAGGUAGCCUUCUUCUCAUGGUAGAUUAUCCUCUACAUACUGGUGGUACAUAGGCUCAAAUUACUCAAGGAUAGCUUCACUCUUAAGGGUUAUAGGUAGCUAUUUCUGACUAUGGUGCCUAUGUAUACUACACUGUAUUGUGGAGAUAAGAAUCAAGACAAACAGUCAUUUACUCAAUCUAAAAUUCUCAACUCAGGCUGCGUCAAUCUCAAAUUCUAAGUCAAAAUUAUGAAAGAAUUGAUAUUAGUGCUCAUGGUUUAAAGAAUCUCAAUUAAGAGGAAAUCAACACAAGAAUCAAGUAUACACUAAGGUAAUAUUCAACCCUUUCUAAGAACCAUAUUCAUUGUCAAUCAAAUUCUUAUCACUGGCUAAUAUUCAAAACAAAUUUUUUUUUUUGUUUUUUUUUGUUUUUUUUUGUUUUUUUUUUGUUUUUUUUUUUAAAGAAAAAGACAAAGACGAAGCAACAAAAACUAAGUUCGAAAUCCACCCCCCCACACUUAUUUCUUACAUUGUCCUCAAUGUAAGCCUAAUGUCACGGGACGAGAGGUUUCGAGCCCGUGCGGCACUCCCGCAUCCCAUACUACGAGAGUAAGCCUAGAGGAAGUGGCACAAUGUCGACUGGUUUCGCCCUGCCUUGGGCUCGUCAGGAGAACGGCCUCAGUUCCCAACCAGUGUGCGUCAGGAUUUUCCUAGACCCCUCUUCAGCGUUAAGUCCUCGACUAGCGACAAGCUCCCCAAACUCAACCGGGUCGGCCUGCCUGAACUCCAAAGAGUCUAGGGGAUUGUAUUCCCCACACACACAUUCCUGAAGCACGUCUCCAACAAUCAGCACAACCAUCAUCGACACUAGCGUACAAGCGCAUAUCUUGGGUGCCACGAUUGCGGUCCGUGACAUUCUCCCACCGCCAUAACCAUGCACGUCCUCGUGCAUUCAGAGUACGCCUCGCAAGUGUGCACUUCCGCGCGAAAACGUGAAGAUCGGCUUGCCAAUCUCAACCAAUGAACUCCCUGCCUACUCGUCCUCAAUCCGUGGAGAGGACCCGCGUGCAGACACCAUCCACUUAGUGCGAACGCUUGGGGGUGUGAGAACCCGCCUGUUCGUCCCGCUUGUCGACCCUUGCAUCCGGAAGGGUGGGGACCCGCGUGGUGCGGCAUUGGAGCGCUUGGCGAGCUCGUAGCGAGGGCUUCGAGAGAUGACAAGCGCGGCUCUGAUACCAUUUGUCACGGGACGAGAGGUUUCGAGCCCGUGCGGCACUCCCGCAUCCCAUACUACGAGAGUAAGCCUAGAGGAAGUGGCACAAUGUCGACUGGUUUCGCCCUGCCUUGGGCUCGUCAGGAGAACGGCCUCAGUUCCCAACCAGUGUGCGUCAGGAUUUUCCUAGACCCCUCUUCAGCGUUAAGUCCUCGACUAGCGACAAGCUCCCCAAACUCAACCGGGUCGGCCUGCCUGAACUCCAAAGAGUCUAGGGGAUUGUAUUCCCCACACACACAUUCCUGAAGUACGUCUCCAACAAUCAGCACAACCAUCAUCGACACUAGCGUACAAGCGCAUAUCUUGGGUGCCACGAUUGCGGUCCGUGACACUAAGCUAACAAAAGACAGAAUUAAACAUGGGAAAAUGAGAUGAGACACACAAACAGAAACAAAAAAAAAAUUCAACACAACGUAGGUAAAGUAAAUGAGAAUGAGAGGGAGAAAAAUCAAAUCUGUUAUGGCGUGCUCUCAAAAUCUUUUCUCCAGCCAUUGGGUUGCCUCCCAAUAAGCGCUUGGUUUAUUGUCCUCAGCCUGACCUGGUUCUCAAGUUUCACUCAUCAACGUACGCAGGUUCAUAAAGUGGAGCCUCCUCUACAUUGAGUGUUUGAAAAUUUUCAUAGUAAGGCUUCAACCUAUGACCAUUAACUUUGAACUCUUUACUUGUCUUUAAGCUCUUGAUCUCAACUGCACCAUGAUGAAAAACAUUAAUAACAACAAAAGGCCCAACCCAUCGAGAACGUAACUUACCUGGAAACAACUUAAGGCGAGAAUGGAAUAGCAGAACUUUCUGUCCAACUUCAAAAUUCUUUCUCAAGAUUUGCUUGUCAUGAAAAGCCUUAGUUUUUUCCUUAUAGAUUCGUGAACUCUCAUAGGCAUCAUUUCGAAUUUCCUCUAAUUCUUGCAAUUGGAGCUUUCUGUGUUGGCCGGCGGCAUCCAGUUCCAUGUUACAUUGUUUCACAGCCCAUCAUGCUUUAUGUUCAAGUUCCACUGGAAGAUGACAAGGCUUACCAUAUACCAACCUGUAGGGUGACAUACCGAUAGGAGUUUUGUAUGCGAUCCUAUAUGCCCAAAGUGCAUCAUCAAGCCGUAGGCUCCAGUCCUUUCUAUUCGGAUUAACUAUCUUUUCAAGGAUUGAUUUCACUUCCCUAUUAGACACCUCAACUUGCCCACUAGUUUGGGGAUGGUAAGAUGUAGAUACCUUGUGAGUGAUAUUGUAUUUUUGAAAGAGGGCUUCUAUUGACCUGUUACAAAAGUGAGUGCCUCUGUCGCUGAUAAUUGCCUUUGGUGUUCCAAACCUUGUAAAGAUGUUACUCUUUAUAAAAUCUACCACAACCUUAGAAUCGUUAGUUCGGGUGGCUUUUGCUUCCACCCAUUUUGAAACAUAAUCAACCGUAAGAACAAUAUAGAGAUUACCAAACGAUGAAGGAAAUGGUCCCAUGAAGUCGAUGCCCCAAACAUAAAAAAUCUCAACUAUAAGAAUGGGAGAUUGUGGCAUUUGAUUUCUAGGUCCUAAAUUACCUGUUCUCUGACAACGUUCACAAGAUUUGCAAAACAAAUAUGCGUCCUUAAAUAGUGAUGGCCAAUAAAAACCGCUCGCAAGUACCUUAAGGGCUGUUCUCUUUGGUCCAAAAUGUCCUCCACAAGCCAAAGUAUGACAAAAUGUGAGAAUAGAAGUAAAGUCAGUUUCGGGUACGCACCUUCUAAUAACUUGAUCAGAACAAUGCUUCCACAAGUAUGGCUCAUCCCACACAUAGUACUUGGCAUCACUCUUGAUCUUGACCUUUUGUGCACGGGUUAUCUCUUUCGGUACUGUCCUGGUAACCAAGUAAUUGACAAUAUCUGCAUACCAAGGAGUAAUUGUACCUACCUGCAAUAACUGCUCAUCUGGAAAGUUCUCAUGCAAUGGAAGUUCAUCUUCGUUAUGGAUAAGUCGACUCAAAUGAUCUGCCACCAAAUUCUCAGAACCUCUCUUAUCUAGAAUCUCUAUGUCAAAUUCUUGCAAUAGAAGUAUCCAUCGUAUAAGGCGCGGUUUGGCAUCCUUUUUUUGUGAGCAAGUACCUAAUAGCUGCAUGGUCAGAGUAAACGACUACCUUAGAUCCAAUUAAAUAAGAACGAAAUUUCUCUAAGGCAAAGAUAACUGCUAAAAGUUCUUUCUCUGUGGUGGAGUAGUUAAGUUGUGCAUCAUUCAAUGUACGAGAGGCAUAAUAGAUAACAUGAGGAAGCUUGCCCACACGCUAGCCCAACACGGCUCCAACAGCAUAGUCACUGGCAUCGCACAUAAUCUCAAAUGGUAAAUCUCAGUUUGGUGGUUGAAUCACAGGUGCCGAUGUCAAAACCUCUUUUAACUUCUUAAAAGCUCUUUGGCACUCUUCAUUGAAGUCAAACGUUGCAUCUUUUAUAAGUAAGUUGCAGAGAGGUAAAGCUAUUUUGGAGAAGUCCUUGAUAAACUUGCGAUAGAAACCUGCAUGACCAAGAAAAGAACGAACCUCCCUCACAUUAGUGGGAGGUGGUAAGGAGCGUAUAAGAUCUAUCUUAGAUUUAUCAACUUCAAUCCCCUUUUCAGAAAUAACAUGGCCUAGUACAAUACCUUGAUUAACCAUAAAAUGACAUUUUUCCCAAUUAAGCACAAGGUUAGUGUCAAUGCAUCGUUUAAGAACAAGUGUAAGGUUAUCUAAACAUUUAUCGAAAGAAUCACCAUAAACUGUAAAAUCAUCCAUAAAUACCUCAAUGAUAUUUUCCACAUAAUUAGAAAAAAUACUCAUCAUACACCUUUGGAAAGUGGCAGGAGCGUUACAGAGGCCAAACGGCAUGCGUCGGUAAGCAAAUGUUCCGAAGGGGCAUGUGAAUGUCGUUUUCUCUUGGUCUUCCGGAGCGAUAACGAUCUGAUUAUAACCUGAGUAACCAUCAAGAAAACAAUAAUGAGAGUGACCACUUAACCUUUCAAGCAUUUGAUCAAUGAAUGGCAGAGGAAAAUGAUCUUUGCGAGUGGCUGCAUUCAGUUUACGAUAGUCAAUGCAAACUCUCCACCCAGUUUGAACUCUAGUUGGUACAAGCUCGUUUUCUUCAUUCUUGACUACUGUGAUGCCUGAUUUUUUUGGAACUACCUGCACAGGACUCACCCAUUUACUAUCAGAAAUGGGAUAAAUAAUCCCCACAUUAAGGAGUUUCAGUAUCUCUUUUUUUACGACUUCCAUCAUUGGUGGAUUAAGGCGUCGUUGUGCAUCUCUCGUUGGUUUAGACCCUUCCUCUAGCAAAAUGCGAUGCAUGCACAUGGAAGGACUGAUUCCCUUAAUGUCGGCAAUGGUCCAGCCAAUCGCUGUCUUGUGAUCCCGAAGCACCCUAAUUAACUUUUCUUGUUGAACUGGAGUGAGGGUUUUAGCAAUUAUGACUGGAAGUGUUUCAUUCUCACCCAAGUAAAUAUAUUGCAGGUGUUCUGGGAGUGGUUUAAGUUCUAAGGUAGGUGCCUGCACAAUUGAAGGUAAAAGUUUCUCAUUUAAUAAAGGCAAUUCAAGGUAAGAAACAUUAUACCCAUUGGUGCGUAAUGUGACUGCUCCAUCUAAGAUCGCCAUAGCUUCCUCUACCUUAUCAUCCAACUUUAUCAAAUUUGCAUGUUCCUUAGAAUCAUCUUUCGUAAGAUUUUUGCUUAUGGCAAUUUCAAAACUGUCAUUACCAGAUAAUUCAAAGAAAUCCUGCACCAAAGUAUUAAUAUCAUCCAUGGCAAAAACAGAAUGAACAUCACUGGGAUACCUCAUUGCCUCAAAGAUAUUGAAGCGGAUCACUUCACCAUCGAAUUCCAUUGUAAGGGUUCCAUCGUGAACAUCAAUCUUGGUUCGGGCUGUCUUAACGAAUGGUCGCCCCAACAGAAUAGGAGUGGGAUUGGGCGACAAUUCAUCCUCCAUUUCAAGGAUAUAAAAAUCAGCUGGAAAGACCAAUUCAUUUACCUGCACAAGAACAUCUUCCAUAACCUCCUUUGGGUAAGCAUUAGAUCUGUCAGCCAAUUGAAUAAUUAUACCAGUUUCUUCCAUUGGACCUAAAUUCAAGGAGUUAUAAAUCGAAUAUGGCAUAACAUUAAUUGAAGCCCCUAAAUCUAGCAUACAUCUUUCGAAUCUGGUAUUACCAAUAGUGCAGGGGAUAGUGAAAGUACCAGGAUCCUUGCACUUAGGCGGAAGUUUUCGAAUCUGGUAUUACCACUCAACUUUCACUUGUUGCUGCAUAAUUCCUUCAAAAACUUUGCAUAACGCGGCACUUGUUUAAUAGCAUCAAGUAGAGGAAUAUUUACCUCUACUUUACGAAAGGUCUCAAGGAUCUCUUUUUCUUGCUCUUCUUUCUUGGAUUGUUUAAAUCUGCUAGGAAAUGGUGGAGGAAUGGAGAGAGUCUUAAUUCGAGGUGAGAGGAUACUUACCUGGCCAGAUGGACCGACUGGCAAUGCCGAGUGGGAAUCAUCCUUCCUUGUUAAAGGAAGAGCCUCAGGUGAGGAAUUGGUCACAGAGGGCGAUGAUGUUGUGGAUACUUUUGAUGGUUUAGCCAAUAAUGGUUCCAAUUGCUUUCCGCUCCUAAGAGACAUAGCACUAGUAUUCUCCUUUGGAUUAAUUUCUGGUUGAGAAGGUAACUUUCCUGAAGUUCUAGCCUCUAUCCUACUCAUAGAUGUGGCCAAUUGGCCAAUUUGAUUCUCUAAAUGUUGGAGCUGUGUCUGGGUAGUCUGUUGGAAUUGCAUAGAGUUAGUAGCGAGAGCUUUUACAAGAUCUUCUAAAGACGUACCUUGAUUUUGAGGAGGUGGAGGUGGCCGAACUUGGUAAGGCUGUUGCACCCGGUGUUGGGGGUAGCCCGGUGGUCGAGACGGUGCCACAUUAGAAAUGCCAUGUUGUUGGUUCCCAUACCUAAAAUUAGGGUGAUCCUUCCACCCUUCAUUGUAAAAAUUAGAGUAUGGAUCAUACCUUUGUCUUGGUUGGCCUAGGAACCCCUCAACUGCAUUGGCCUGCUCAUGUGAACCCUCUUGGAUGGCAGGGCACAUGUCAGUCGCAUGUCCGACCAUAAAACAUACGCCACACGGUCUCAUUUGUUGCCCUAGAGCUAAUUGUUGCACCAAAGAAGUAAGAUUUGAAACUUGUUUUUCUAGAGAAGUAGUACUUACCUCAUUGACUCGCUUAGGUGGUGGCAGUAGAUCGUUCCUAGUGUUGAACUGUUGGGAAUUAGCAGCCAUGUUAGCAAUGAGAUUUCGGGCUGCUUCUGGUGUCUUAUCCACGAGUGCUCCUCCACUAGCAGCAUCAAUCAUACUCCUAUCCAUAGGCAGUAGACCCUCAUAAAAGUAUUGAAUAAGAAGUUGAUCACUUAUUUGAUGGUGGGGGCAACUAGCACAUAGCUUUUUGAAUCGUUCCCAAUAGUCGUAGAGCGGCUCUCCAUUAUACUGUCGGAUUCCACAAAUUUCUUUUCGAAUGCUGCCAGCUUUUUAUGCUGGGAAAUAUUUCUCCAAAAAUAGCUGACGCAUCUCAUUCCAUGUAGUGACAGUACCGGAGGGAAGAUAGUACAACCAUUCCUUGGCUGAAUCCGCCAAAGAGAAUGGGAAGGCCAUUAGCUUAACUUGCUCUUCAGAAACUCCGGCUGGUUUCAUUGUGGAGCAGACCACAUGGAACUCCUUCAAGUGCUUAUUUGGAUCCUCUCCUGCAAGACCAUGAAAAGUAGGAAGAAGAUGAAUCAUCCCAGAUUUGAGUUCAAAGUUUACCUGAGGGUUUGGAUUCUCAAUGCAUAAGGGUUGCUGGUCCAAGUUAGGAGCUGCCAACUCUUUAAGUGUUCGGUUGUUAUUCUGAGCCAUUGGUUCGGGUUCUGGGCUGCUUGGCUCUGUCUUCGGGAGUGGAAUGUGGAUGGCAAAAUCGAGUUCUGAAUAUGAUGAGGUUGCUCUAAGUUGUUCGAGUUUCAAUCGAAUGUCCUCUAUGCUCAUGAAAAUCUAAAUAUAUAACAAAAAAAUAACUAAUUAAAAUAAAAUAAAUAAAUAAAAUGAGAAAAGAAAUAAAAAUAAAAAUAAUAAAAUAAAACGAGUGAUAAUAAACAAACUAGACGCUAGUCCCCGGCAACGGCGCCAAAAAUUUGGUAGUGUCGUUAAGGUGCACCAAAUUUAAAACCUUACCACUUAUAUAAAUAAUUAGUACAGAGCGAGUAAGGAUCGAUCACACAGAGACUAUGCUAGUUAUAUUUAUUAUUAACUCCAAAGCAAGAUUUAAAAUAAAAUAAUAGUAAUAGUAAUAAUAAUAAUAGUAAUAAUAAUAUAAAUUAAUCUAACUAAAGAUAAUGCCAAUUAAAAAUAAAAGGGGGUUUAUGAAUUUUUAACUAAAUAGUAAGAAAUAAAGAAAUUAAAAUUACGAACAAGAAUUUAAUAAAAACUCUAAUUAAAAGAGAAAAAAAUAAUAAUGAUGAAAACUUUGGUUAAAGGAUCAUUCGCCACCACAAAACAUGCACAUAAUAUAUUAAUUCUAUCAUCAAUUUAUAUUGAAACUAUCAACCGUAGACAACAAUAAGCUCUGUUAGUCUCAAUCUUUCCUUAGUGUGUCGUUAGGCAAAACAAGCUCUUCACCUAAUCUCUAACCAUUAAAUAAUUUAAAACAAGCUCUUUAAAUUUAAGAUAAUGGAAGCAUUAAACAGAGAAAGAUAUUAGGUUGAGCUAGGCAAUAAACACACAAGCUCGGAUUAUUUAACCUAGGUUAUGUUCUUCAAUUGAAAUCACUAAUUCCAACCUGCUAUUAAUGAUUAAAAUAUCAAGAUAAUUACGGAUCAAGAAUUUUAAUCUAGCAAUAAAAUUUAUUCAAGUCCUAUCUAAUUGGCCACUCAAACAAAACAAGAAUAAACCAUGAACAUUAAUUAUAGAAGAACAUAAACAAUCUCAAUUAAAUAAAUUGAAUGGUAGAAUUUAAAUUUAAUUGCAUAGCAUGUUUAGGGUUUUGAAUUCACCCUCAACCAAAUAAAAAUCUAACCUAACAUAAUUGAAUUGGGAAUAAGAGAAUUGACAAAACCAAUCAUGGAAAUUAAUUCAAGCGGCUGCCUUUUUCUUCAAUUGAAUUCCAGCUGCUGAUUCAAUUGAAUUCCGGCUGCUGAUUUUUUCUUCUUACUGCCGAAUUGGAUCUACCCUCCUCUUUAUUUUCUCUUCGCUGCCCGAAAUCUCCUUCUUGUGCGGCUGCCUUUCUUCCCUUUUAUAAUGUUGUGGUUUCUUUCAAAUCCUUAAAGGAAAAGGUUUGCAAAUCCAGCCCAUGAAUCCUUAAAUGAAAAGAAUUAAAAACAAAGCCCAACCGCCUAUUUCAUUCCUAAGCCAAUCAUAAUUAAAAGCAAAAGCCCCUCCACGUGUUGCAUGCAUGCUUAAUGAUUAAUUAAUUUAAAUCCUUUGUGAUUUGUUCUAAGUAAUUCUCUUUAUUUUCUUUCCCUUUUUUAUUCCUUUAAAUGGAUUUCCUCCUGAAUGUUCCAAUUUAUUCUUCUUUAAUCCCAUAUUGUACCUAAAAUAAUAAAAUAUAAAAAUAAAAAUAAAAAUUAAUACAAUAAAAUAUAAUUUACUAAAUUAAAGAUUAACUAAAAUAACUAGAAUAUUUAAGACCAAAAUAAGAAAAAGAUGAAGAAAUUAAUAGCAAAAUAUAUGGAAAAUAUGCACUUAUCAACCAAUAUCUUAACCUUAAAGUGAUAACAAACUCAUGAAAUGAAUGCUCAUGCCCAUGAGUCCAAGGCCAAUAAUUGAUGAUCCCAUUUCAGAAACCUCAUGCAAAGUGAUUAAUAAUGCAGCCUAAUCCUACUUUUUAUUAUAUUGACAAGUAUUCACUGUAUUACUUUAUAUAAUACAAUGUAUACAAACAACAUGUCAAAAGCGACUUCAAUGUCUAAAGGAUGUUAGAAAGCUUUAAGAUCAUUUUAGUAUUUCUGUUCAAAUAGCGGUUUUGCGCAUAUAUUCUAGGAAAAUGUUUUUUUGUGUUUUUAGAGUAUUGCUCCUUCACUAUUCAAUACUUGCCACAUGAAUAUGAAUAUUAUCAGAAUUGAUUGAAGCAUAAAUAUUAGUAUGUUCCAAGAAAAGAAUGGAAAAGUAGCACCCAAGACCUCUCCUUAUUCUAGAAGCAUUUUGCCUUUUGCAAAUGACACGUACUGCCCACAUAUAUAAACACGCAACAAAUGUAUCAUAUAAAUUUUAAGGGUAUUUUUGGAAUUCAGAAAAAAAAUGACUUUCUAGACUCUUUUGGGCCAAAAAUAUUUUACCUCAAAAUUGGGAAGAGUCCAUCUUAGAACACCUCUUCAAAAUUUUGUUUUGUUCUUAAAAUAUCCUAUUUUCAUUUAUGAAAUACAAACUUAAACAUUAAAAUUAAUAUCUUUCCAUAAAAUUUCACCCUUAAAAAAAGUUAUUUUUCUAUUUAUAAAAUUCAUGCAAAUCCUAAAAUUUUUAAUUAUUUUCAUUUUUUAUAUAAUUUCUAUCUCUAUAAAUCUAAACUCUUUAUAAUUUUUUUAAAAUAUAUAGAAGAUAGGGGUAAAAUAUUUGUUAAAAUAAUAACUUAUUUAAGUGGUUAAAUAAGGUACAUAUUUGGUAUAACUUAUCUAAUGGUUAUAAGUGCUUAUUUAAUUCCAUAAACUCUUUUCAAUUUUUUUUUUGGUUGUUGUUUAGUCGUUUUUAGAAUAGAGUUUUUGAAAAUUAAGUAAGUUAUUUUACAUUCAAUAGUAAAAACUUAAAUUUUGGACUUUAGGGAGUAGAGGUUGAAAAGCUUAUUUAAAAUGUCAAAAUAUUUAAAAUAAAUUUAUUUGAUAAUCAUAUUUCAUUCCUUUUAUAAUUUAACUUUAAAAAAAUUGUUUGUUAAAAUAAUCUUAUAAUUUUUAAUAAAAGUUCUCAUUGAUAACCAAAUAAUUAAAAAAAAAUUAUGAAGUUCUACUAAUAAAAGUUUUAUUUAAAUAAGUUUUAUUUGAAAAGUUAUACGAAACCGGCUGAAAUUCCAUUCAAAAUAAGAAAUGAAUUAACUUAAAAUUAGUUAUUUAAAUAAUUUAUGUGAAAAAAAACAGUCCUUUACAAGGGAUUUUAAGGGCUGUGAAAAAACGACCCAAUUUGAAAACUAAUAACCCGAAAUAUGAAAUAAAAACAAGGCACUCCUAAAAACAAAAUUUUUAAACAAAUUUGAAGGCUGCUGCUGCUGCUGCUGCAUACACAUUCAUCAACCCUUUAUCUUGCUACCGCCAAGGGUUCUAGCCGUGUUAUUUGUUAUAAUAAUAUUGCCCGCAAUUGUCAUUCAUCAUCAUUACUUUCUUUUAAUCCCCUUUAAUAUCUAUCGGUCACCAGCAUAUAUAGCAUCCGUCGAUUAGGGUUUCAUCAUCAAAGCGACCAAAUGGGGAAGAACGAAAAGACAGGACUCGGAAGAGCCCUAGUGAAGCACCACAAUCACAUGAUCCAAGAAACCAAAGAAAAGGGCAAAUUCUACAGGAAGCAACACAAGAAGGUUCUUGAAUCCGUCACCGACGUCGACGACAUCGACGCCGUCAUUCAACAGGCGGAGGAAGCCGAGGCCUACCCCGUCCCUAUCCCCCUCAUCAAUUUGUGAGUUCCUCCUUUUCUUUUCUUUUUUCUUUUUUUCAUUAAUCAAUAAAUGAAAUUAUAAAGUUUAAUCUAAUUUUUAUAAUAAUAAUAAUAAUAAUGGGUAUUUAGAGAUGAGGGGUCCAGGAGUAGUACCAGAGAGAUGAUGAUGACGGCGGAGGAGGGGAAGGAGGACGAGGCGUUGCACGCUGGCAACCUUAGAAUCGACCUUCGCAAAAUCCCUCUCUAACUUUUCAAAAUUUACAAAUUUAAUUUAAUAUUUAUCUCAUUUAUCAUAAAGUCCCUAUUAAAUUUUAAAAAUAACCAAAACAUUAAGUAUUUUUCUUUAACUUCCAACCCACAAAGAAAUUGUUAUUUUGAGAUUUGUUGCACGCUAACUCUCCUCACACAAAAAAAAAAAUAUAGAAAUUAUUUUAUCUUAUUGAGUUUAUCAAAAUGAUUUUUCUUCAAUGAAUCUUAUGACACUUAAAAUUCAAUUUGAUGUUUACAUUACAUAGGUGGGUUCUAAUAACAAAUUUUCAAAAUUGAAAGAGAUUGAUAGGCUAACAAGAAAAAUAGUUGAUACUAAAAAAGAUAAAUUGUAUUAAUUGAUUUAUUUAUGGAUAACAUUAGCAUUGAUUUUACUAGUUGUCAUGACGACAGUAGUAAAAUGCAUUUUCAACUAUGGAUUUUGUGAAAAAUCUUCUGUGAAAUCAAAUUAGAGAUUAAUAAUUGAGUAAUAUUAUUGUUGCACACGUAGAAAAAGAUUUAUUUUGUAUUCUUGAUGAUAAGUUUAUUUUUUAACGUUUUUAACAUAUGAAAACAUGUCGAGAUCAAUUAUAAAUGUAUUGAAUAUAUUAAUGAAUUUUUAUUUUUGAUACUUGUUACUUAUUGACCUUUUUUAGAUUAUAUUAUUAUUUAAACUUAGCCCUUAUUAAGAUAAAUUUCUGACACCGCCACUACUUUGAACUCUAUCAUAAUAGAAUUAUUAAGGAGAGGAACAACCUUCAGACUGUAUCAUGAUAAAAUUAUUAAGAAAAGUCUCAAUCGAUAGAAGAGUUAUGAUCAAUUUCUAAGUAUAAAUAUCAUUAGAUCUCUAAUUGUAAUAUAUCAAAAUAUUAAAAAAAAAAAACUAUUUGCAACAUCAUUAUUCUUAUUCUAAUAUCAUGUUUGGAUUUUACCAAAUAAAACUCAAACUCUUCAAAGCGCACAUCUCAAACUACUACAAUUAUAACUACUUUUUUGAAUUAAAUAAAUAUCAUUAAUCUAAAGUUCUCCUAGUUCGAGGAUCCAAAAACGAACACUACGAAUUCACUGUAAAUUGGGUUUGGGAUCUUGAAUGACUGUGAAAGUUGGAAUGCAUUUUUUUUUAAUUUUUGUGCAUUUUUUUGGAGAGAGAAAUUGUUGUUUAAAUAAAGAUUAUCUUCAGAAUUAAAGUGAGUGCUGAUAGCAGCAAGUGAUUUUAUAGUAUAAUUUAAUAGUGUUUACUUAAAAAAGGGUAACAAUAGGAUUUUAGAGAUGUGACAAUCCUUUAGCAAACUUAUCAUUUAUGUAAUAUUAAUAUAAAACUACAUCUUUCAAGCACUGCAUUGAAACAUAAUCACAGACUGCGCUUAUGGUCUUACAAAAACAUGUGCUACGUACUAGCAAGAUGUUAUUAUUGUUACUAUACAUUGCGGUUCCAUGCAUGCUUGUUGAAUAAUUUAUGGAUGACUUGGCUGUGGACCUCUCGGAGGUAGUGGUUGAGCCGGUGGAUGAUCAGUCACACGACCGUAUGGAUGUUCAUUUACGUGACCGUAUGGAUGCGGAAGAGCAAAGGAUGGUUGCAAAAGAAGAAGCAUUAUUAUGCAGCAUAACUCCAAAAGAAACCAAAGCAGACUGUUCAGCUUCAUCUCAUUUCUCAUUUUAAUUGCCCUCUUACCACAUAGAGUUUUCUAAAGAUGUAUACAAAAUUAUUAGAUGAAUGAGAAGAUAUAAGUUAUUAUAUAGGCCCCUUUCCUUCAACCAUUUUCCAGUCAAAAAAUUAUAAAAAACAAACGCAAAUAAGUCAAGUCAAUUUUCAUCUUGAACAAGUCGAAUGCAUAUAUAUUUUUUCCGAUAUUCCUAUCCUAAGUGUGAAUCCAUAAAAGAAGUUGCUGACUUAAUUUUCUUGUUUCUCACUUUAUUUAAUUUUUAUAAAUUUGUCUCACGAUCAAUUAAUUGAAGAGUUUGGUGGAAAUUCAAUUUACUAUAAUCAGAUCAAUGUAAUUUAAUUAUUUUUCUAUUUACUUGAUGUCAGGAAAAUUAUGAAUACUUUGUAGAAUUUAAAGGAUUAAAAAUUCUAAUGCAUAUAAUUUUAUUUUUCAAACUGAAUAAACAUAUCAUUAUUGCUUCUUAGAACCUAUUACUUGUAUUUUAUGUUUCUGUCUCUUUUCAUAAUUUUUUUUUUUUUUUACUUUUUCUUUCAUUUUCCCGACUCCCAAACAUCACUAAUCCUUGAUUUUUUUUGGAGUAUUAACUGCUUGUUCCUCCAAACAUCGACCAACUGUUAGUCUAAUCACUAUCAAGAGACAACGUAUUCUGUAGCGGGGUUUUUCAUUUAUUGUCUUGUUACUUCUGAACGGGACUAAUUAAACCUUUUCAUAGGAAAGUACCAUCCAUUAUACACUUAUUUUGCUUUUCAUUGAAAAUGUUAAUAAUCAUAAUAAAUUAGAUUGAAUUAAUAAUUUUUGCCUCUGUGAUAUAAAUAAUCGGUUUAUUGGAUUUUCUUCUCUUUCAUUGAUUUUGCAACUGUGACUUCUGAGUCGGGUUAAGGAUUGACAAAAACGUUGUAACCCACAAAGCACGCAUAAUUAAUUAAUGGGCCACUAAUUUCUUCUUUCUUAAAAGAUUUUUUUUUGCAGGGAGACUGAACAAAAGACUAAUUCUUGGUAAAGAUCAGAAUCAAAUGGGUAUCCAUCACAAAUACAAGUCAAGCCACACAAUUUUUCUUGUUAUACUACUUAUUGGCACUUGUGAUCCUUGAAUUAUCGAACGAAUAGUAAGAACACUUCAACAUCCGUCGUUAUAAGGACAGCAAUUCGUCCUCUCUUUGAUGUAAUACUUGGGCAAUGUACAUUGACUUUUCAUUAAAACAAGCAUUGUCCAAUUAAUUUGCAAGUGGACUUUCCCACAAGAUAUAAGGGUGGGCAUAAACCGGUUCGGUUCGGACAGAACCAAACCGAAACCGAAAUAAAAUAAAAUAAAUUAUUUUGAUUCAGUUCUGUUUGGUUUGGUUUAUAUUAGGAAUUUUAAUAACUUUUCUUUUAUAUUUACUAAAUUUUUGGACUUUUCACCUUAAUUUUUUUUCUUAAUUCAAUUCAAUUGUAACCAUUACAAUUCAUGAUUUAUACAAAAUAUUAAUUUAAAAUAAUUUUAUAAUAAAUAAAUUUUGUUAUUUAUGGAAAAAUAAACUUUUUUUAUUUUAAGCAUUGAACCAAUUUCUUCAAUUCGGUUCAUUUUAAACCAAAUUGAAUAAGAACCUUUCGAUUCUUGAAUUUCUCAACCAUUUGGUUAAUUGAACCACUAUUACAUCAUCUGCUCUAAUGUCUCCCCGAAUUGGGAGAGCUUGCGUUGCAAUUAGGGGAGACAUUAGAAAUCGACACAAUAAGAAAUUGUUCUGAAACUGGGUAUUGUAUUUAAAAUUCUACGGUGAACUGAGUGUUGUAUUUAAAAUUCUACGGUACUUAGAAGCUACUGGCCUUUAGUCUUUUGUCAUUAAUUAUUACUUGUUAGAAAAAUUCAGAUGCAGUAUUGUAUUUAAAAUUCCACGGUACUUACAGGCUAUGGCUAGCUAGCUGUUGGUCUUUUUUUUUUUUUUGAUUACAUGAGACUAUUGCUCAGAUUACAACUCAUAUACAUGAGACUAUAACUGAUAUUUACAAAUCAGACUAUUACUGGGACCAACUUACAUCAUUGCUAAUGGAGCUCUGCCCAGAUUUUAACCCUCACAAAUAUUCGAGGGAUGUCUAUUCCUCACUCAUGAGUAAGGAAGAAGACUACCUUCACUCAAAUGAAUUGAGGAAGAAAAUACCCCCACAAUGCUUUUGUGGGGGUUCGAACUGCUGCCCUCCAAGUUGGAGGGCAGCGGCCCUGGCCACUCGGGCUGAGCCGAGUGGUUCUAGCCGUUGGUCUUUUGUUAGUAAUUAUUGCUUGUUAGAAGGUAAAUGCUAAGUUACAUUUAAUAUAACUUACAACACAGACAUGAACAUUAUUUUUUUAAUUAUUUAUAUUUUGAAAAUUUAAUCAUAAAAAUUAUAUUAAAAAAUUUAAUUAUAAAUAUGUGUAAGUUAAAGUUUUUACUGUGACCUAAUUUUCUUAAUUAUCAAUCAUAACCUAACUUACUUCAGCUACAUGCCCCGCUCCUUAUAUACAUACAUAUAUAGAGGACCAAUUAUCUCAACUACUUAGCAACUGAUGAUCUAACAACCAUUUUUUAUAGAGCUUCUCAUGUAGUGCUCUUUACUUCUUAGAAAUAGCUUCCUCUGUUGGUCGCCUCGUAGGCUAUUUACCCCUCAAACCUACCGAGACAUUCCCUUUUGGUUUUGGACCCCAUGACCUCAAUAAUGGGAAUCGCCUCUUGGAACAGGCCUCACAUCCCUAUAUAUAUAUAGGGUUCCUCUAUGAUGCUGUAAAUUUUUUUACAGCAUCAAUAAUGUAUUAAUUGUGAACCAUUAGAUCUAAUCAAUGGUAUACAAUAUUUGUACUAAAAAAAUAAUUUAAAAAUAAUGGUAACCGUUCAAGUGGGUAGAUAAUUUUUGUAAAAUAAUUGUGACCACCCUUAGAGUUUGAAACAAUUUCACUUAAAUAGUAUAUUUUAUUUAAAAUUACUUUUCAGCCCUCCUUUAAAUUUGUAAUAUGAUAAUUUCUUUUAAAUAAAUCUUCCAAAAUCAGUUACCAUUAAGUAUAAAAUAUAAUAUCAGGUAGGCUAUUUAACACAAAGUCUUGUAAUAAUUUGUAUUGUAUGAAUUUAAUUACAAACCAUUAAUACCUAAACAAUAAUGAUAAUAGAAAGUAUUGCAAUAAACUAUUUUAUAUGUGUUUUAUUAAUAAUACUACAUGAGUCACAACAAAUGAGAAAUAUUUUAUUCACCAAUUAUUAUUGAAAAAUAUAUAUGUCUAUAUAACUAUAGAGUGAGAAAUAUUUUGAUUUAAAUUUUUAUCAAAAAAUUAAACUAUUUAUUUCAUGCUAUUCAAUGGUGGAGGAUAUAACAUUAUGAAAUGAUGCUUUGACUUUCAAUAUCAACCAUUAGAAUAUAAGAUAUUAGUGGCUCAAAUACUGUGCCAAAAUUUUAAGUUAAAGUAUCACAAACCAUAUCUUUAUAAUGGAAAUAUAAAAACAAACAAUGAUUUUUUUCCUCAUUUUGUCCAUUAAAUAUUAUUUGAUGUAAUAUUUUAUUUAUUGUCACUAUUAAUUAUCAUAAUAAAAGUAAUGACUCUUCGUAGCAUAUAAAUUUUAUAAUUACUAUCAAAGAAUAACAAUAAAAUAAUCUUUCAUGAUUCAUAAACUAAAGUUAAUUAGGAAUAUGUGUUAGAUUUAACUUUUAUGAAAUUAAAAAAGUGACAUUUGAAAAUAAAAUAAAAACAGGCUUGUGAAAGUUAAGUUUUAUAAGGCUGAGAUAAUUUCCUACCAUGUCAAUAAAAAUCUAAAAAUAUAAAUGAUUUUCUUUCAAUUUUUUUCCCACGUAAAUAUUAUUGAAGGCAAUAUUAUAUUUAUUGUCACUAUUAACUAUCAUAACAAAAGUAAUGACUCUUCAUAACAUAAAAUUUUAUAAUUACAAUCAAAGGAUAUCAAUAAAAUAAUCUUUUACGAUUCAUAAACUAAAGCUCAUUAGGAAUAUAUAUUCGAUUUAACUUUUAUGAAAUUAACAAAGUGAUAUUUGAAAAUAAAAUGAAAAUAUAUAAGCUUAUAAAACUUAAAACUCCUAACAUGUAAGGAUAUUAACUGUAAGAUAAAUAUAAAGUUAAGAAAAUAAGUAUGUUAAAUGGGUAUUAAAAAUAAUACAUACUUCAUGAUCAAUUAUACAAUGACCCUUACUAUUGUAUAAAAUAAUGAGUAUUUUAAUAUACGAUAUUAAAUUUUAUUAAAACAUGUGUGAUCAAGUAAUUUUUAUGUUACAAGCAAUCUCAACAAUGAGUUUAUUGAUGUAACUAUGACAUUUACUUAAGUAUAUGUAUUUAGUUGUGUUAUUUAUUAGUGUUAUAUCAUAUAUAAAUUUUGCAAUUGCAACUUAUUUAUUUGAUUUGUGUUAAAUAACCUACCAUUAUAUUUUAUACUUAAUGGUAAUAGAUUUUAGAAGAUUUAUUUAAAAAAAAAUUAUCACAUUUCAAAUUUAAAGGGGGAUUGAAAAAUAAUUUUAAAUAAAAUAUGCUAUUUAAGUGAAAUUAUUUCAAACUCUAAGGGUGGUCAUAGUUAUUUUACAAACUUCUCCGCCCCUUACACGUUUGUUAACCGUUUAUCAUUAUUUUUUAUUUUUAUUUUUACCUACAAAUAUUGUGUACCAUUGAUUAAAUCCAAUGGUGCACAAUUAAAAACAUUAUUGAUACUGUAAAAAAAUUACAGCAUCAUAGGGGAACCCAUAUAUAUAUAUAUAUAUAUAAGGUGCGAGCACCCUCAUUUAUUUUAAUGCGGACAUGCUAUUAAGUUGUACGAUUUUAUAGAGUUAUUUUUCAAUGUAUUAUAAAGUCAUGCAGUUUAAUAGUGUUUUUCAUUGAUUUAAUUAAGCUGUAUGGCCUAACAACAUGUAUGCAUUAAAAAAAAAAAAAAAGUGAGCACCCGCACUAGAGAAGGAUUUUCAAUGUUCUAUAAAGCUGUGCGGUUUAGCAGUGAUCUUCACAGACUCUAUUAAACUGCAUGGCUUAAUAACAUGUCUGCAUGAAAAAAAUAAAGGCACCUGCUCUAGAGAAUCACUACACACACACACACAAAUAAGCUUUUAAUAAGUCGAAAUUUUAGUAUUUUCAAGUUUAAUAUUACUAAUAUUUUAUUUUGAUUUGAUUAAUUUUAUUUAUUUUACUUUAAUGACUUAAACCUAAUGAUUGCUUACUAAACUUGUGUUUUUAUUUGUUUAAUUGUUAAUGGUAAUUAUCCAAAAUUUACUUAUUAAUAUUGUUGACAAUACUUGUAUAUUGAUCAAAGGAUAGAGCAAGGCAUUCAUCAUAGUGAUGACAAUUUUCCUACAACAGAAACAUUUUAUAUUAGAUUGACAUAUUUUGUGUAUUUGUUUUAAUGUAGAAACUUUAAUUUCUCAUUUACAUUGAUAAAAUCUAAAAUUGAGUAUUUUUAUGUGGAUUUUUAAGCUACUACUAUAACUUUGUAGUUUGAAUUAUAUAAUUUAAAUUUUUAUAUAUUAUUGAAAGUACUCUUUUAAUAUUUGUGAGUUUAAAUUUAAAUCCCGUUUAAAUCCCACAAGCAAGGGUGGCCAACAGGCCGUGCCAGCACGUUAAGUAAUGGCCCACAAGGGCCUGGCACGGCCAAUGGUACGAGGGGCUCGUGCCGUGCCCAAAAAAGUCCAUCAACUUUUUUUUUCCUUUAAGCUCAUAUGUCCAUCGUGCCUAAAAGUUCACGUGUCUGACGUGCUUUAUUAAGGCCCACGUGUUUGUCGUGUUUUUUUAAGCUCAUCAGCUUAAUAAUAAUAAUUUUAUUAAGAGAACAAUUAACAUUUUAUUAUCAAUUUAUCAGAAUUUCAUGACUAUAUAUUUAAUUUCACAAUAACCAAUCAUAAUACAACAAUACAUAAAUUUAAUUUCAUAGAUCAUAAUAAUGAUUAAUUAAAAUUAAUAUUAUAAUUCUGGAAUAACAAUUACAAGAAGUCACAACUACGAGAUAUUAAUUAUAACAAAUCAUAGGUCACAACUUAUCAUAAAAAUAUUUCAUUCAUAAUUUUAUUUUUUGUGUAUAAAUACGAAAAAUAUUUCAUUAUGAAACAUAUCUCUAUUAACUCUUAGCUAAGUUAUGAUUUCAUAAAUGAAAUAUUAAUUUUGUAAAUUUUUUAUUUAUCAUUUAUAAAAUCAUGAUAUUUAUAAUUUUAUUUAUUAAAAUCAUUAUAUUUAUUUAUUCAUUUAACAAGUAUUUUUUCAUAACCCUUUCAUCUGGUUACCCGCCUUUUGUUUAAUAUAUUCAUUGGACCGUUGCACCUGUACUCUAUUUCAGUUUAACUUCGUUCCCGUUCGUUGGAUUUAAAAAUCGCAUAUCUAAUGAUCCAAAACGGCAGGCUGUUUGUUACAGAUAUUGUAACAUAGGCGCUGCCAUAUAUAUGGGAUAAUGGUCCUCUACGAUAUUUACAUGCUACACAGCUAGCUAGCCUCUAGUCUUUUGUCACUAAUUAUUACUUAUUAAAAAAUUCAUUGUUAAUUUGUCAUGAAAAUAUAUAUGGGUCAUAAUCCUCUUCUAAUCUAAUUUUUUGAAGGUUUGCAGGAGAUUAACACCUUUGUAAUUUUCAGUUUUGUAUGGAUAAGUUUUUUAAAAUAAAUUUUAGGCCAUGUAGCAUUAGUCAAAAUAAUGGGUUUUGACUUUUGUGGACUAUAAAAUUCAUUUACCUGAACUAGGUUUUGUAUUAAAUUUUAUCAACUAUUUUUAUAUAUACUUCAUUAAUUUAAAUCAAUAUAUACACAUUUGGCUACUUUUGGCGAUAAUUGGCUCUACCAACAGAUGCCAAAACCAAUCUCAUGCUUUCUAUAUUUAAAACUUAUAAGUUUCAAAUCUACACAAAGAAUAAAUUUUAAUACAUAAAUUAACCCUUAAAAAACUCAUAUGCUAUCAUAGAUCAAGAUUUCCAUGGAAAUAAAAUUACCACAUAUUUACAAUUCUGACAGCAAUAUUAGGCAUCCUAAUAUGAAAGUCUAAAUUUGAAUAUCAACUGAUCAUGUGAUAUGAAAUACUAACUAGGCAACCCAAGAGGGGGGUGAAUUGGGAUUUUAAAAUUUAAGCUGAGCAAAUCACACAACAAUUUAAUCAAAUGUUUUAAUAGAAUCAAAAACAAUAAAUUCAAUAAAGCACAAUAAUAAAAGAGUAAGGGAAGAGAGAGCAAACACAAUUAUUUUUACAUGGUUCGGCAAUCCUCGCCUACGUCCACGCCUCCAAGCUCACCCGGCUUGAGGAUUUCACUAUCCAAGCCUCCCAAUGCUUCAAAAACACUUAUAAUUGACUUCAAAUGUGUCAAUCAACCUUUACACCAAGAGAUUAUCCUCAAUCUCUUAACCCAAGUGUAUCCCAACACUUACAAUCACUCAAAACAAAGAUUACAAAUGUGUUUUUCUCUCACACAAAAUAUAUGAUUACAAAUAUAUGCUCAAUGUGUGAAUAAAUUAAUCAAGAACGAAUUUAAAGUUCAAUAAAUGUUGUAUUCUCGAUUAUAAGCUCAAUGAUAAUGUUGUGAUCCACCUUUGUUUGAAUUUGAAUGAACUUAUUUAUAGUUGGAGCUGAAAACUAGCCGUUAUAAACUUUCUGCGCGAAAUCGGAUCGCCGUUAACUGUUAUCGGUUAACCGUUUUGAUUGGUCCAAGUGACCGUUGGGCUGAAUUUCAAAUAAUCGAUUAACCGUUUGGAAUUAUCGAAUCGCCGUUAAUUUCUAGAAUCCUGUAAAAAUAAAUUUGGCUUAACCGUUCUUACUAAACGAUUCAAGGUUAGCAAUUUGGAAAUAAUCGGUUCACCGUUUUCCGUAAACAGUUCAUCGUUAUUUUUCAGAGUCAUCAUUUUAACAAUACUUUGCAGCACAUGCUUUCUGGAAAUUAUCGGUUAGCCGUUUGCUACAGUGAAAUUAUUUUCUAAGAUUAUAGUUUUGCCCCAAAACUUUCUAUAAUUAUACUAUGGCCCAAAUCGUCAUAAAACUUUACAAAUAAGUCCAUUUCCAGAGUUUCAAAACUUUUUCAAUUUAGACCAUUAAUUGAAAACAACCAAUUUCAUAAAAUCAUUUUUCCAUUAAGUAUAAAACCUUUAUAUUAUGAAAAUAAUGAUUUAUUUAAAAUAAUUUGAGCUUUUAAAAACUUAAUCAUUCUUAAUCUUGUUUGUUAUCAUCAAAAUUAACAUUAUGGAUACAUAUAUACUAACAUGAUAUUCAUUCAUUCAAUGAUGAUUAAGCAGUUUUAUAAAAUAUGAAAUCCAUCAUUCAAUAAAUAAGUGACGCAUGCAUUGGGGCUUAACUCGGGACUUAAAUGUUAGAAUCCUUAACUUUAUUGAUAAUAUGAUGGAAAUAAAACUAACAAAAGUCUAUGUAUUUGGGUGGAAACUGGAAAUAGAAUACUUUCACACAAAAGUUAAAACUAAAAGAAAGUGCUAAGAUAGAAAAGUGGGUGUUAACCGGAGAGGAAGUAGAAGCUUCCUCCCCGCUGAAGUAUAUAGAUGCUUUUGCUGUGAAGCAAAGAUGAGCACAGAGAGAGACGGAAAGAUAAAAGUAGCUUCUACUUCUUAUAAGAUUCCACUUAAUUUUGCACAAAUAACUAUCAGGCAACUAAUUCAAAUAAGUGAAGCUCUCAAGGACGAAUAUACCAAUAAAACAUAAUUUUUUUUUUUCACUGCAAUAUGAAGACAUCAUUGCUGGUUUGACUUAAUAAAGUUUAAAGCAGUCAAGUACAAGGAUUCGAACAAAGUCCUACAUGGAAUAUAAACCAACAGAAAUUGCCAUAAACAGCAUAUAAAUAACGACCUUCGAGAUAUGAUAAAACUCACUCACCUGGACGCUUGUAUGAGUGAUCAAUGAGGCUCAUGUUCCAGAACUGUCCUGCAUUGCAAUUCUUGGAGGGAUGCCCCAAGGUCUUCUCAAGCUAGGAGAGCCUACCUUGUAAUUUGUUGUAUGGAAUGCGGGCCCAGCCAAUUCUGCACAAAAAAUUAUUUCUAGGGCUUUUGACCUGAUUAUAAUAAUAAGUAAUUGCGUAAACAUCUUUGCAUGCAUGCAUUCUAGAACCAUUAGUGAUUGGCGAAGAACCCGCGAACUCUGUCGUUUGGAAAUCUUACCGACUGGUAUUUCCUUCUGGUAUUUGAUUUCAAAUACUCUAUACAGUACCCAAUAAGCUGUUGCAUUAUAAUGCAGCAUAACUCUAAAUAAAGAAACGAAAGCAGCUCCAGCUUCAGCUUUAUAUCUUAACUUUCCUUUAAUUUCUCCCACACCGCCCACUGUUGGUGUAUCAUUUUUCCAACAUGUAUCAAGAGAUGAGUGAGAAGUUAUAUGGGCCAGUGUGCAUUACUGGAGCCCUUAUGAUUCCAUUAGCCCAUUAUUAUUAUUCAUGUGGAUUUAAUUUUAUCAAUUAUUAAUGAAAUUAAUCCAAUCUGAAAAGUUAUUUUAUGAUAGAUUUAUUCUAUUAAUUGGACAAACAACUAUCAGCCAACUAAUCUCAAAUAAUGAGCGAGGCUUUAUGCUUCAAAGCAAUUCUACUCCUAAGUUUUAGUACUUUUUAUUUCAAUAUGAAGACUUAAUUGGUUUGAGUUACUGUAAGCAAGUUUUUGUUUAUGCUUAGAUUUUAUGGACUAAUUAGGAUAUUUUGUUUUCUGACGCUUAAGUUUGUAUGCUAAAAUGAUUGGUUGAAAUAUACACAUAACAAGUAUUGAAUAGAAAAGGAAUAGUGCUCUAGAAGCGUCCAAGACUUUUUAAUAAAAUAAGGCAACAUUCACAAUAAGUACUAAAACAUAACAUAAUAUAUUAGUGUAAAAAUUGUAAAAAAUGCUUUUUAACUAAUUAAAUGUGGCGAUACUCAUAGUAAGCAUUAAAACAUAACAAUUAUUAAAGGUCAUGUCACUUCCCAAUACGUCUUUGUUUGACUUAGCCACAUAAAUUUCACUUCAGAGAAAGAUAAUGGACUAAAAAUUAAAUUUGGGCUAUGUCCUCUCCUUUCAAAACAAGAAGCUACCUUAAUUUAAGGUAGAAUUUUUUAUAUUUUGCAAGUGCAAAUUGACCUAAAAAUUAUUAAAUGUCAGCAAUCAACAUACUAUAAAUUGGAAUGCAAUGCAUGAAAAUAAAUAAGAAACACGAAACCAUCCGAACAAAUCUUGAGACACUUAAUUAGCAAAAGUAUUAGCAGCAUCAUUACUCCCUAUGAUACCAUUACGUAUAAUGUCGAGUUAUAAUGUCGAGUUAUAUUGUGACGUAUUAUAUCUUUAGUGGUUUAUCAAUGGUUAAGAUUAAACCUCCUACUUGUACAGUUCUAGAUCAAGAGCAUAAUAUAAGCGCAUAAUCACAACAUGCACUUACAAAUUAAAACCAAGUGUUCUGUGCAUGCAUUGCAUGCAUAUUGAAAUAAUUAUGGAUGACUUCCAAGAGGUGCCUAUGGCUAUGGAGACGACGCGAAGGCAAUAGAUAAUCUUUUAUGUGACCUGCUGUAUGAUCAAUGGGUGGAUAUUUACGAAGAAGCAAUAUGCAGCGGCAUAUGUACAACGUUAAUGGUGCGUUUACUUCAUGGCAUGGGAAUGCGGUGGAAUGAAAAUAGAAUGUGAAUGAGAAUUGACUGGAAUAUGAAUGAGGAAUGAAAAUGAGAUUUCAAUGUUUACUUGGCAAAAAUAAAUGAAAAUGGGAAUGUGGUGAAAUGUCAUUGACGUGUUUACUUGGCAAAAUAAAUAGGAAUGAGAAUCAAUUUACUAAAAUACCCAUAGUGUUAAAUAAUGUAAUUUUUAUUAACUAGAUACAUGUAUAAAUAUUAGGGAAAUUAUCAUUCGUAUACCCUAUAUUUGUUCUGUUAUCAAAAAUACUACAACACUUUGAGGGUGUAUCAAUCGUUCACCCUAAGUUGACGAAAUGUAUCAGCCGACCACCAAACUGUUAAUUGCCAUUUGAAAGUUAACGGAAUUACAGUGAAUUGAGGAUUUUACCCUUGAAAAUUAUCACUUGUAUACCCUUAAAUUCUUUUUUUAUCACUUGUAUACCCUUAAAUUAUCACUUGUAUCAUAUGAAAAGACCAGAUUACCCUUCUGGCGUUAUCAUAUUUAAAUGGCAACUAAUGAUACAUUUUGUCAACUUAGGGUGGACGAUUGAUACACCCUCAAAGUGUUGUAGUAUUUUUGAUAAUGGAGUAAACUAAGGGUAUACAAAUGAUAAUUUCCCUAAAUAUUAUUAGUAAAAUGAUGUUAAUUAAAAUAAUAAUAAUAAUAAAUGCUAAUAAUGAUGAUAAUAAUAAUAAUAAUAACAAUAAUAAUAAUAAUCAUUAAUAAUAACUAAAAUAAUAAAGUUAAUAAAAUUUAAUAAUAAUAAUGACAUUUAAAAUAAUAAAUUAAUUGUGAUUUGAACAAGGGUAAUUCAAGAAAUAUAAAAAAAUUAGAGGAAUAUAAAAGUAAACAUGGUUUCAUUCUCAUUCCCUCAUUCACAUUCCCAACCUCCCCAUGGGAAUAGAAUUUUCAUUCCUUAUUUUCAAAUUAUGUGGGACCUACAUAUUUUAUUCCUAUUAUUAAAUUACAUUUUGCCAAGUAAACAUAGGUAUUAUUCACAUUUCUUCAUUCUCAUCCCCUAAACCCUUAAGUAAACACACCAUAAAAGAAACAAUAGCUGCUUCGUCUUCACUUCUCCCUCAUUUCUAUAGAUCCUUUAAUUACUUCAAUUUUGAAGUAUCCACUGGGUCGUCCUCUCUUUGAGAUCGUGCAAAUUUGAAGUUAUAUAUAGAUGUUUAUAUAGGCCAAUUAAUUGCAUCCAGCCAUCCAUGCAUUCCAUUCAAAAACAUGAAGCACAAAUCUUAGAUAUUUUGGUUGAAGUUCCAACCCAAAAAUAACGCCGAGUACAAGAAAUGUUGGAAACCACGGCUACUUUUGGAAUUGUACUACUGUUGUACGAAUAAAAAGUUAAUUAAUGAUAUUAUGAUUAUUUUGAUAAAAUAAUAAAAAUCAAACAAUUGUAUAUAGUAUAAAAUCACCUUAGUUUCUAUAUUAAGUAUUUAUUAAACACUUUAAAGAUACAAUUAAGUGAUCAUAUUUAGAUCUGAACUCACUUGAACUUUUAAAAAUAUCAUGUCAUAGGUAUUUUUGUAUUUGGUAGUAGUACAUGAGUAUAAGAUUUAACUCUUUUUAUUUAUUUAUUAACUACCAAUAACCACUUGAAUUUUUGUUCAAUAUAAAAUUAGAUCAUGAAAGAACCAUGAUGCAGCCAUAACUCCUCAACAACACUAUAGCAUAUAGGUUGGUAUUUCAAAAUACCAAUAUCUUAACCUUAAAGUGGUAACAAACUCAUGAAAUGAAUAUCCACGCCCAGGAGUCCAAGACCAAUUGAUUAUCCCAUAUCAGAAACCUCUUGCAAAGUGAUUAAUAAUGCAACCUAAUGCUACUUUUUAUUAUGUUGCUAGAUAUUGACUGUAUUACUUUAUAUAAUAUAAUGCAGUAUACAAACAACAUGUCAAAAGCAACUUCAAUGUCUAAACGAUGUUAUAAAACUUUAAGAUCAAUUUAGUAUUACUGUUCAAAUAGCGAUUUUGCGCAUUUAUUCUGGGAAAAUGUCUUUUGUGUUCUUAGAGUAUUGCUCAUUCACUAUUUACGUGACAAGUUCUAAGAAAAUGUGUUUUGUGUUCUUAGAGUAUUGCUUCUUCACCAUUCAGUCUUGUCACAUGAAUAUAAAUAUUAUCAUAAUUCAUUGAAGCAUACGUAUUAAAAAGAAUGGAAAAGUAGCACCCAAGACUUCUCCGCAUUCUAGAAGCAUUUUCCCUUUGCACAUGACACGUGCUGCCCACAUACAUAAACACACAACAAAGGCAUCAUAUAAAAUUUGAGGGUAUUUUUGGAAUUCAGAAAAAAAGUGUCUUUCUGGGCUCUGUUGGGCUAAAAAUAUUUUACCUCAAAAUUGGGAAGAGUUCCAGCUUAGAACACCUCUUCAAAAUUUUGUUUUUUGUUUUUAAAUAUCCUUUUUUAUUUAUGAAAUACAAACUUAAAUAUUAAAAUUAACGUCUUUCCAUAAAAUUUCACCCUUAAAAAAAGUAUUUUUUCUAUUUAUAAAAUACAAAAAAAUCCUAAAAUUUUUAAUUUUUUUCAUUUUUUUAUAUGAUUUCUAUCUCUAUAAAUUAAAUUCUUAUAAUUUUUUUAAAAUAUAUACAGCAUAGGGGUAAAAUAUUUGUUAAAAUAAUAACUUAUUUAAGUGGUUAAAUAAGGUGUCUAUUUAGUAUAGGUUAUCUAAUGAUUAUAAGUACUUAUUUAAUUCCAUAAACUCUUUCCAAUUUUUUUUUUGUUGUUUAGUUGUUUUUAUAGUAGAGUUUUUAAAAAUUAAAUAAAUUAUUUUACCUCUACUAGUAAAAUCUUAAAUUUUAGACUUUUGAAAGUAGAGAUUAAAAAGUUUAUUUAAAAUGUCAAAAUAUCUAAAAUGAACUUGUUUGAUAAUGUUAUUUCAUUCUUUUUAUAAUUUAACUUUUAAAAAGCUUGUAUGUUAGAAUAAUCUUAUAAUUUUUUAGAAAAGCUUUCAUUGAUAACCAAAUAAUUAAUUUAUUUUUGUGAAAGUUCUACUAAUUAAAGUCUAUUUAAAUAAAUUUUUAUUUGAAAAGUUAUGAGAAACCGGCUGAAAUUCUAUUCAAAAUAAGAAAUGAAUUAAUUUAACAUUAUUUAUUUAAAUAAUUUAUGUGAAACAAACAGUGUUUUACAAGGGAUUUUAAGGGCUGUGAAUAAACGACCCAAUUUGAAAACUAAUAGCCCGAAAUAUGAAAUAAAAACAAGGCAUCCUAAAAACAAAAUUUUUAAACAAAUUUGAAGGCUGCUGCUGCUGCUGCUGACACAUUCAUCAACCCUUUAUCUUGCCACCGCCAAGGGUUCCAGCCGUGUUAUUUGUUAUAAUAAUAUUGCCGGCAAUUGUCAUUCAUCAUCAUCACUUUCUUUUAAUCCCCUUUAGUAUCUAUCAGCCACCAGCAUAUAUAGCAUCCGUCGAUUAGGGUUUCAUCAUCAAAACGACCAAAUGGGGAAGAACGAAAAGACAGGACUCGGAAGAGCCCUAGUGAAGCACCACAAUCACAUGAUCCAAGAAACCAAAGAAAAGGGAAAAUUCUACAGGAAGCAACACAAGAACGUUCUUGAAUCCGUCACCGACGUCAACGACAUCGACGCCGUCAUUCAACAGGCCGAGGAAGCCGAGGCCUACCCCGUCCCUAUCCCCCUCAUCAAUUUGUGAGUUCCUCCUUCUCUUUUCUUUUUUCUUUUUUUCAUUAAUCAAUAAAUGAAAUUAUAAAGUUUAAUCUAAUUUUUAUAAUAAUAAUAAUAAUAAUAAUAAUGGGUAUUUAGAGAUGAGGGGUCCAGGAGUAGUACCAGAGAGAUGAUGAUGACGGCGGAGGAGAGGAAGGAGGAGGAGGCGUUACAUGCUGGCAACCUUAGAGUGCCACGUAGGCCGCCGUGGAAUCCUUCAAUGUCUGUGGAGGAGCUUGAUGAUAAUGAGAGACAAGCUUUUUUAGCUUGGCGGCGGAGUCUUGCCAGGUUAGCUCUGUUUACAAUCGGCCUUUUUUUUAAUAAUUGAUUUUUAAUUCUUAUUUUUGUUUAUGCGGAG